AUACAGAGUUCCCUAACUCUGAUAAUAAAGGUUAAUUGUAGUGGUGAAUAGAUAGAGUCUAAAAGACUAAAAGUGCAGUGACAGGAGAUCAUAAAACAAAACGAUCAUAGUAUAGAAAUGAAUCGUAAUAUAUACGAUGAGAUCACCCCAUGAUCUGAUAAGGUGAUAGCAGGGAAAAGAAUCAAUCUAAUGAUUGAAAAGAUUUACAGUAAGAUUGUUGUGUGUCAGUUGUACUAUGAAUUGGUACAGAUUCAGGAAAGAAUUACGAAUACGGAUUAAAUGAAAUUCGUUUUGAGAAGGGAAUUAGGAUUAAGUGGGAAUUAUGAAAUAUUUGUGUCGCGCUAUUUGUUAUAUGCAUGUUAAGAGGGUGAUUCCUUUCUCAUGUGUAUAACAGAUAGAUAGGUUAUAGGUAGAGAAUAUAAGGUUAAGUAUGAGUUCUUAAAACUCAUACUUAUGUUACGUUCGUGACUCAUAGUUAUAUGAAAUGUUUAUGAACCCCUCAGCGAAUGGACGCCAAAGGUAUGACUAGGACAAGUUUUUAAACUCAUAUGAUUGUGGAAAGUUCAUGAACUCAUAAGUGUGGUUUGACGAACUGGGUAUAGUUUUGUGUGAAUGGAGUAUUAAGGAUAAUAGGAAUGGAUAGACUAUUUAAGCAAAUGAUUAUUAGUGGGAACAUAGGUUUUCCAAAACUCCUAGCUAUGCUAGACUUCAAAAUUUUGACAUCAAGCUAAAUAUGCAUUAUAUGCUUUUGAAAUAUAUAUAUAUAUUCGUAAUGAUUUUUGAAUGGUUUAAAGUAUAGUCUAUGCUACUUAUUUUGGCUAGACGAUAAUGAUUUGAAAUAUCAAAAUAUAUUUUUAUUUAUCACUUAUGUACCAUGUAACCUGGUGCAGAGAUGAUAAAAAGUUGAUAGAGUUAUAAAUACAGGAAUACUUAGUGUGAAUUCGAUCUAAAAAUUAUUGUUCCACUAUUAUAUGAUGUGUUAUGACAAAGUCAUACAAUGAUGGCAUCCUCCAACGGACUGUUAAUAUAGAACGGCAUCAUGACGUCAUUCUUAAAAAUAUUUUCAAAAAUUUAAUUUGUCAACGGUGUUUGGCUAUACACAUUCGUAUAUCGAAUGAAAUUGAUUAUUUAUAUGAGUCUACGCUAUUCGAUUCAGCUAGACUAAUGUUUAUGAAAACUCUAAGUGUUCAUUGAAAAAAAAUUCCUGAACCAAAUUAUUUUGGUGCGAAAUCCAAUAAGACUGAGGUAAAAUUUUUGUGUCUAUGGCAGUGACGAGAAAUAGAUAAAACCAGUAUUACUGGGCUAGUACUGGGCAUACCGGGCUAAUCACCCUCUAUGUCUUCAGGGUAAGACGGUUUGCGGAUGAAUUUUCAUAAAACCUUUGCGAAAAUGAAAAAUCAUAGUCUAUAUGACUCCCUUUCUUCGAGGAGUUUCCUCAUCAUCAUCAUAUCUCUUUAACUGAUGUUCAUAUUCUUCUAAUUCAACAAACAAAGUUAAAGUAUCCAUGGAAGAAAUAGUUGCAGAAUCUUGAAGAGUAGUGAUUUUGGAAUCAAACUUUUCAGCAUUGCCCGAAGCAACUUACGGUUGAUCUCACUUUGAGGAAUAGUCUUGUCCAGUAAUUUCAAGGAGUUUAUGAGGACUAGGAAUCUUUCUUGAGCUAGCUUGAUGGUUUCAUCUUUUUCGAGCUUGAACAUUUCAUAAUCAUGCAUGAGCAUACUUAGUUUGACUUUUCGUACUUUGGAGGUACCUUCAUGACUUACCACUAAAGUAUCCCAAAUUUCCUUAGCUGUGUUGCAUGAGGAAACUUUGCCUAUCUCAGAUUGUACCAUGCCGCUGAGAAGCGUGUUCAUUGCCUUUGAAUAAUAUGAAACCAUGUAGAUUUCGGUUGAAUCCACUUCUAGCAGAAUCUUUGGUGUCCCAUCAUCUCUUCGUGGAAUAACUGGUCCAAUUCUCCACAACCCACCAUUCCCAAGGAUCUCUUUUUAGAUAGAUCCUCAUUCGGAACUUCCAAAAGUUGUAAUUUUCCGUUCCGAACAGCAAAGGAGGUCUAUUGGUUGAUUAUCCUUCUUGAUUGUUGUUCUCGAACUGUGUCAUGUCAGAAUCUUUCCCUACAAGUCACCAUUAAGACCAAGAUAAGUAGAGCUAAGCUUUGAUACCAAAUGAAAUUUAUCUAGGCACACUUAGAAGGGGGGGUUAAUAAGUGUGGGAGAAAUCUAUGACCAACUUUUAAACUUUAAAUUAAAUUAUUAACUUCAGGCUACUAUAAUGAUUGAAAUCAGUUUACUGAAUUAAUAUAGCCUAUUAAAGAAAAUAUCCUGCUGAAUUUAUAUCUUAAGUAAAAUACUUGAUGUUAAAUAAUUAUCUUAAUAUAAUAUAAGUAUACAAAUUUUAAUAAUUAAGAUAAUUAAAAUAGCUUAUGUGAUUUUAAAGUAAAGCAAAUAAUAAAAUCAACACCAAGAUUUUUUACGUGGUUCAGCUAUUACCCUCUAUAAUAAUAGCCUAGUCCACGUCCAAUACCAACUAGUAUUGGAGACUCACUUUAUUUAUUUUUUUAUAAAUAAAUACAUAUUACAAAACAGAUUUUAAAAAAUUAAUUAACAAUUAAUUCCUCUUGAGCUCUCUUGCUCCUUGUGCACCUAUGCACUCUUCAAGCACCUUUUCUUCCUUGAACCUGUUUGUAAACAUUUUCUCUAAUCCACUAGGAUUAAAACCUUUAGACUACACUUAGUCUAAAACAAAAAAUUCAAUACAAAUAUAGAGGUCUAUAAUCAAUGCAAGAAUAAUCAAUUUAACAAUUAAAGGCUCAACUAUAUGCAAUGAUCCAUUAGCACAAAAUAAAUGAACAAUUAAUUUCUUACCAAAUAUCAGCUUAAAUAAUAUCAAAAAAUUAAUUGCUUAGCUUCUCACAAAUUGCACUGACAAAAUCCGUUUGCUCGAUAAUAAUCAUAAUAAGUGCAUGAAAUAUUUUCGUGAGUUGUAUUUUUCCAUGCUUGAGAAUAUUGAUUUAUAGUCCACAUUAUAUUACCGUUUGAAUUAAAGAUAAGUCUUGAUUGUUCAAAUAACCAAACGGUAUAGAAAUCCUUAACAAACAGAAGGUGAAAGUUUAAAUUGAUAUUUAUCCAAAUAACGGAAUCAUAACUCCUUUAAAAGUCUUCUCUCCGAAUAAAUUUGGCGGUAGCUCCUAAAGUGAAACAACUCAAAGAAACGUAUGACAUCAAACUCUUUUCUCAACAAAUCUUUAGAGUUCCAAUAUACAAUUACUCCUUGAAAACUACAAUCAACAAAUCACAAUAAAGUAGUUGCCAUCCUUUAGAUUUUCUAGGAAACCAUGAUUACAUGCACAUCCACGUGUAGAAAAAUGUCCAAGAGAUAUCAAUUAAUCACUUUUUCAACCAUGCACAGAUAUCAAAAUGUUAUCCUCCUUUUUAGCUUCUAGACAUGCUCAUAUAUCCACGUGUGUGUAACUAGAUUCAGUAUAUAACUCAAGUAUAUAUAUAUGUGGGCAAGAAAAUUGUACCUUGCUAGGGUUAGGGUUUCGUGUUGGCUAAGGAGGAGAAAAAUCCACGGAAUUGAUUGGUUGAUUGAAGAGGGGAGAACGACAGGUGGGCGAUUACUCCAACGACGCGUGGCAGAACUCCUAGAAUUCGGGAACCGUGUUAGGGUAGUAGGGAUUCCAAGAGCCUUCUUGAGUCCUUCGAGCUGAGAGAAUGUCCAAACCCUUUAGUGCUUUUAGGUGGAAUUUCCAAGCCUUAAGCCACUAAAAGAAUCCUUUGAUCUUCCAAGAGUCCAAGUUCUGAGUCUGAAGAGAGGUCCCUUUCCUAAUGGAAUGGAAGGGAUAUAUAUAGGGUUUUCUGGAAAGUAGUCAUGUGCAAGGCACAUGCUUUCAAGGAAAUUCCAGAAAUACCCUUUAGUCAUUAGAAUAAUGCUCAUAUUGCCCUGUCCUUCUAGCCACCAAUCCAAUCCCUCAAUCGAUUCCCAAAACGAGCCGCCUUCACGAGUCUUCCGCCUCGGGACACGUGGAGGCUUCUCCCGGGUCUAGCACAUUUAUUUUUGACUUUUUUUGUCUUCAUUCUAUUAGGUUAUGCGAACCCUAAUUUGCACAUUUAAUGAGGUUGUGGAACCCUAAUUGUGCAUUUAAUUCAAUUAGGUCAUGUGAAUCCUAAUUUUACACUUUGGCCCACAUUUACCCCCUGCGUGAGAGUCGCAUUCCCAAAUAGACGAUCGUGCAAGAAAAUUGCAAGCCUUUGAAUGAUUUUGCAGGACUUCAGUUUAUAGGUCUUGAAGACAAUGGUCCUAGUAGAGGGAACCUCUAGGGAGCCAAACUCUUAGGGUUAAACCCUAGGUAGGAAAAACCUAGUAGGACUCUUACUUGAACAAAUUGGGAACUCCUCCAAACAUCUUUCCAUAGCUUGCCCAAUAUUUGUUUCCUUAUUUUUUAUAGAAAUUGAAACAAGGAAAUAUAAUCAAAUAUCACCAAAUAAAAUUUAAUCUAAUAAAAUCCUUCUUUAAGGUAAACUAAAUCUUUCGUUUUUACCAAAUCAAAUCUGAAAUUUUUAUUUUGGAAAUAAAAUCAAAUUCGAAUAAAAUAAAAGCUUAAUUUGAUUUUGAAAGUAAAAUUUGGAUAUAUUAAUAAUAAUAUUAUUAUUAUUAUUAUUCAAAAUCAAAUCAAAUCUUUUUUUUUGAAAAUAAAAUAAAAUCUUAUUUUAUUUUUUCAAUAAAUAAAUAAAACAUUUACUUAUCUUAUUUUUGAGAGGCAAGGAUUUGAUAUCUAUGAUUACGUCUUGCAUCCCAAAUUGCAGUAGAAAAUCUGUUGCCAUGCAUAUUACUUCAUUAGGAGCUGCUUCCUUUUCUUUUCUUUUUUUUUUGCCAUAAUAAAGGACCCUUGAAGCUAUAGCCUAUACUUGUCCUUCCCUCGUUAGCCGCAACCAAAAUGCUAGAUGCUGCUGCUUUAUUUGGUUGUGAUUAUAUAGGCUAUUAGUAUAUAUAAGCAGCUCACGCCGAACCCUUCUGACUCACGCUUCUUUUUUUUGAAAAUAAAAUAAAAUAAAAUCUUAUUUUAUUUUUUUCAAAAAAUAAAAUAAAAUAUUUUUUAAAACAAUAAAUUUUGUUUUUUAUAUAUAUAUUAUUAUCUUACCACAUCCAUCAUCAUGAUAUUUAUCCUAUAAAAUCAUGAUUGAAGUUUGUCAAGAUAGUAGAGUAGACUAAAUCAGCAGAAGUUUGAUACAGAGGCCUAGCUAGCUAGCUAGAUUUUGGAGACUUCUCUUUUAUUUCUUCAGUAAGAUGUGGAGUUGCGCUUCCCAAUAAUAAGUACUUCCACUGGCUGCCCAGAACCAUCCCUAGCCGGGCUGAAGCAUAAUGGUAAGUAAACAUUCCUUAUAUAUAUAUGCAAUCAUCUCCAUGAUUCCCUGCAGAUUCCUUAUAUAUACAGAUUUUAUCAACAAAUCAUGACCACAAUUACUCAUACACAGGCCUAAUGGGAUCGCUUGUCCGCGAAGAAGGCUAUAUUUAUUCAUUAGCGGCAAGCGGAGAUUUAUUGUACACAAGAUCCGACAGCAAGAACAUCCGUGUCUGGAAGAAUAAAAAGGAAUUCUCUGGGUUCAAAUCAAAUAGUGGAUUGGUUAAAGCAAUUAUCAUUGCUGGUGAAAAAAUAUUUAUGGGUCACCAAGAUGGUAAAAUUCGCCUAUAGAAGAUCUCUGCCAAGAACCCCAGCAUUCACAAGCGGGUAGGAUCUUUGCCCUAAAAAAGUCCGUUUUUAAGAGCUCCAUGAAUCCGAAUAGCUACGUCGAAAUCACGAGAAAACAUAAUGUCGUAUGGCUGAAACAUUUUAAUGCGAUUUCGUGCCUAAGCUUGAACGAAGAUCAAACACUUUUUUGGUGAGUAUCCGAUUCAAACUGCUUAGAAUCUGUUAAUGCUCACGAGGACGCCGUGAAUUUGGUUGUUGCAGGAUUUGAUGGAUUAGUAUUCACAGGUUCGGCUGACGGAACGGUGAAAGUGUGGCGCAGAGAGUUACAGGCGAAAGGAACCAAACAUUUCUUUUCACAGACAUUAUUGAAACAAGAGUGCGUCAUGACAGCAUUGGUGGUGGACCAUUCGUCUUCGUUCCUUUAUCGUGGCUCGUCCGACGGGCUUGUUAAUUAUUGGGAACAGGUCAAGCUUUUGUUGCAUGGGGAAUUAUUGAGAGGGCACAUGCUUACGGUUUUGUGCUUAGCUACAGAGGGUAAUUUGGUGUUUAGCAGAUCGGCUGCAAAAAAGUUUCAUUGUUCACUUUGAAUUAUGAAUGUGUUGAUUUUUCACUUGUCAAUUCUUCAUGAUUGUUUCAUUUAUUUCUUUUCUUUUUAGGUGAUUGUAGUAUUUCUUUUGUCUUCCGAGCCCCAUUACCUUGAUCAUAUCUUGGUUUUUUCCCUUGGAUCAUAAAGAAAGAUUGGUGUUUUUCGAUGAACCGCGAAGGAAAAAAAUGCUUUUUUCUUUCUUAUGUCUUCCGAGCCCCAUUACCUUGAUUACAUCUCGGUUUUUUCCCUCGGAUAACAAAGAAAGAUUUGACGUUCUUGUCAAGGAAAAACACAAAGGGAGAAAAAAAUGCUCUACAUGCGGCGAAACCACCCCAGUUAACCGAACCCUAGGGGUCCGAACCCUAGGAGGCUGAACCCUAGGGGGACGAACCCUGGGGGAACGAACCCUGGGGGGACGAACCCUAAGGGGAAAUCAAUGUUUAGAUGGAAUUCUGCUCUUUAGAGCCCUUUAUGCUGAAUUCUUCUUGUUUGCAGGCCCUCUUCGUUGGACAUUAUGCAGACCCGAAAACCGCCAAGGAGGCCCCGUUCCUUAGUGAUUGGGGAAAGGCUCCCCUCUUUGGUCUUUCCAAUGUCUUUUGGGAGCAAGUCUAGACUUAUGACCGUACAACUUUUCCUCCGCCAGAGAAGGAAGACUUGUUUCUAUAUGCAGCGGCUUGUGGAGGUUGGGAUGACUUUCCCGAUUUUGAUUGCAUUCCCUGCAUAUGCAUAGAGAAACAAGAAUACCCUUUCAGUCCCCUUCGCUUCCUGUCUGAUUCAUCUGAUCGCCUUCAAGGAUGGCAGGAUUGGACCGACGAGAUAUUUGGAAACACUGAUUACGUGGAUAUACUCAAGAGUGUGGGCAUCUUUUGUUGUGUUCAACUAUGCAGAGACCUACGUAUCCAACAGGACCAUAACGCCCUUACUGUAUUGAUCUCACGAUGGUCCUCCUCUACUUGCACAUUUGUCACUACUUGGGGGGGAAUGCACCUCUACGCUGGAGGAUGUCUAUGUCAUCUACCAGUACGCAUUUUGCCCCCUGCGCGUGAGUCACACCUUUGGUGAGAUGAUCGCGCAAAAUAUUUUAAGUGUUGAAGUCUUGAUUCCAGUUUCUAAACACCUCACGAGGCUUGAUUAUUUUUUUUUUGCAAGCCUCGAAAAUGAAAGUCCUAGGAAAGGGAACCUCUAGGGAAGCAAACCCUCGGAGGGCGAGCUCUAGAGGAGCUCUCCCGGGAUAUCUUGGAAAAUCUUCAAUCUAAUCCUUCCCCACAUGAUAUAAUCCUUCGAGUCUUGACGCUAAAAAUUCUUUGUCUAAUGUAAGCUCGGAUGGCCUGUUGUGAGUGGUGCAUCGCUUUCUUCAUGCCUUUCUACAAUUUCUUCACAUAACAGUUUUGAGAGCACCGAUGAGACUCUUGCUUCUUUGAGAAGGAAUCCUUCUGAGACUAUUGCUGAUGUUUAUCCUCCCAAGGAGGAUUCCGCCAAGUUGGUGAUUGCUCGGGAGGGUAUUGUGGAUAGCACUUUGGGAGUGUUGAAUGACCUUCCGUCUCUUGUGGUUGUGGCCUCUCCUAACUCUCCUUGGACAUGUCUCCCUUCCAUGUUAGAUUGGAUCUCUUUAUUUCCAAUCAUGUUGUUGCACUUCAUUUGGAAGUCACUUCACGUCAUCAUGAGAAUGACUUAUUUUAUGUAAAGUUUUAGGAGCUUCAAGAUGUCAUGGAUAAAUUGAAGACCAAGCUUUUGGGAAAUCAAGUUAGUUGCCCAAGACCUUGAAGGCCUGACAACCUUGAAGGCCCGAUAGCCUCGAAGGCCUGAUAGCAUUGAAGGCCAAGCUUUAGCUAUUCCCCUCUCUUCAGUUCUACAGGUCAUGAACUUUCAUAGUUUUUUCCAUUUCCUGUAUCAGAAAAUUCAUUUACAUGUAUUGCAUUCAUCAAAUUAUAGUUUCUUUAACCUUGUUGAUUGCUUUUAAUUUGAAUGAUUCCUUAAAACUCAAUAUUUAUCAUUGAAUCUCAAGUUAUUCAAAUUAAUACUCCAAGACAACAAUAGGUAUUAUAAACAAACAAACAUGAAUUUUGUCAAAAACAUGUAUAUAAAUUUUUCACAAACCAACACUUUAUACUUUUUUAAAAAGAAAACAUUCGAGUAUAAAUGAAAGUUUGUCAAUUAAUUGAUAAUCAUAUUGCUUUUAAUGAAAAACAUAACGUUUCAUAAUAAAUCUUGCUUUUGUCGAAGAAAGCAUAACGUUUGCCACUUUUAGAGAUAAAGUGUAACUUUCUUGCUUUUGUAGAAUAAAGCAUAACGUUCACCACUUUUAAAGAUAAAGUGUAACUUUCGGGGUUGAGGGCUUAUAUUCAGGUGCCUCAGUUACUUUUGAAGUUGAAAGCAUAACUUAGGAGGACUUAUAGUCAGGUGCCUAAUUCACUUUUGAUGAUAAAGUGUAACACUCGGGUGCCUCGUCACUUGGGUCAUCCAAUUUCUUGGCAAGUGCAGUCUACGAGAACUUGAAAUCGGGUGCUUCGUCACUUGGGUCGUCCAAUUUCUUGGCAAGUGCAGUCUAUGAGGACUUGAAAUCGGGUGCUUCAUCACUUGAGUCGUUCAAUUUCUUGGCAAGUGCAGUCUACGAGGACUUGACCACCAUUUAGAGUGGACCACCAUCUUGGGUGGAUUUUUUUUAUUUUUUAAUUCGUCAAUUAUUAUGCCUCCUCCCUUGGUCACCCAAUUACUUGGCAAGGGAUAUUCCUGAGGACUUAAACCACCAUUUUUUGUGGACCACCAUCUUGGGUAUAUUUUUAAUUCAUCUGUAGUUCAGAGUUUUUUCAAUGGUAGAACCAGUAUUUGGGUUCUUGACUUUUGGGAGUGCACCAUGGGUGAUAGCAUUGCACGUUUCUUCUCCUAGUUCAAUCUCUUCGGCCGCCAGCUUCUCAUGGUAUAUCAUUCAUAGACUAUAACAGUCCAUAGUGGAAUGUCCUGCAUAUUGGUGGUAUACACAGAAGUCCGACCUUCUUUUCAUCUCUUCCGUUACAACCAACCGGGGCCUUAGAGGCUUCACCACUCCGUGCUCAACCCAUUGUUCAUACAAGCCCCUGAAUGCCUUCUCGCUGCAUGUGAUAGUCUCUGGAACUGGCAUUCUGGUAUACUGGUCACCAUGUUUUUCUCUGCUUCGCUCAAAUUUCUCAUUCUUCUCCCUCUUGCCCCCUUGUAGUUUUGACUGAGAAUCCGCCAAAGCAACAGUUGCUGUCCUCUUGCUCUUCCAUGUAACCAUCGCAUGGCUAUUGGAAAAUGUCAUGAUUCCCCCCAAGUCUUGUGCAAAAGAUGAGAGGGUCGCAAAUGAAUCACAAGCCUUGGUAAUGAGGUGGGGCUUGAAGGUGUCUAAAGCACCAUUGUUACAUAUGCUAACUAAAUUCUUUUCUUCAAUUGGCUCUGCAUACUUCUGUGCUUGGGCCCUGAACCUAUCCACGUAAUCUGAUAGCUCCUCAUUCGGCUUCUACUUAAACCACUUGAGCUCUACAAUUGUUACCUAUUUCUACACAUAGAAAAACUUCCUAAAAAAUUAUAAUUUUAGGUCAUCCCAAUCAUGGACUGACCCCUUCUCCAAAUUAUAGUACCAACUGAAGGCACUAUCCGACAAAGUCUUGUUGAAUUCUCGCAUCAAUAAGUUGUGUUUGUUCACUUCAUCAUAUCGUAGCCACGGAGACAUUGACUCUACGAACCUGACAAUAUGUUCCCUGGCAUUUCCUUUCUCCUCGUUGUAUUUUGGAAAUUAUGGGAGAUGCUCAAUAUACCCUGUCGGGUAAGGUUGCCUCCGAAUGUGUGCCGGGUAAGGUGGAGUAAAGUCUAACUCCGAGGGUCGGGAUGUCUGCCUCCGAAGUUGAUUGAUCACAUCGAUCAUAUCAUCCUUCGUCACGUAUUGGCUCGUGGCAUGAACUCUCUGGGGUGUUGUGAUAUACUGUUGUACCGGCGGUGUGUAUGGUUGAUGCAUACUUGCAUCGUGCAAAGCUGGCACUGGUGGUAGUUACUGGCUCACUCGCUGGACAUGGAUUGGGACGGUUGGCAUCUGCACCUGUGAAAAUACUGGGAGAGCAGUUGGGAUGAUGUUUGUAUGAGGUUGACUUUAUUCCAACCUGGGUCGUGGCGUGUCACCGUUGUUUUGGGGCUCUAGGUUGAUGAUUUGAACCUACUGAUUCUCCGUCGAUGGAGGUACAAUCUGGUUCUCUUUGUUGUUGUUGCCAUUAUUAUUGUCUUCCACUCUUGCUUGUUCUCCCUGCAAACUGCCUGGGAACAUGGCCUUGAAGGUAGGGAUCUGCAUCAACUGCUGGCAAAAAUUUCCCAUCUCCUCUUGCUUCCUCUGCAUCUCCAGCAUCAUGGCCAUCAUCAUCCCUUGUCCUUCCCGUGCUUCCUUCAACGCCUUGAGCAUCUCCAGUUGCACAGCAUUUGUCUGCUCUUGACUAGGAUCCUCGCUUUGCCUUCCUGCGUUUGUUUGUUGUUGAUUGGCCAUAUGUGGUGAUGUUGAACUCCCUUCCGAAGCGUCUUCAAUAAUUGGUUGGUCAAAAUCCAGAUUUACGCCUUGGAAAGCUUGAGUUGCUUACCUUGGAACUAGAUCCGGUGAGGUAAUGCUAUUUGUUGGUGAAGCAGCUCUUCCUGUAGUUCUCCCACUUCAAGUUGUGAGCAUACCCUUCACGAAUUCUACACGUCCCCAGCAGAGUCGCCAAAUAAAUGUGGGCAAGGAAAUCAUACCUUGCUAGGGUUAGGGUUUCGUGUUGGCUGAGGAGGAGAGAAAUCCACGAAGAGCACGGAAUUGAUUGGUUGAUUGAAGAUGGGAGAACGACAGGUGGGCGAUUACUCCAACAACGCGUGGCAGAACUCCUAGAAUCCGGGAACCGUGUUAGGGUAGCAGGGAUUCCAAGAGCCUUCUUGAGUCCUUCGAGCUGAUAGAAUGUCCAAACCCUAUAGUGCUUUUAGGUGGAAUUUCCAAGCCUUAAGCAACUAAAAGAGUCCUUUGAUCUUCCAAGAGUCCAAGUUCUGAGUCUGAAGAGAGGUCCCCUUCCUAAUGGAAUGGAAGGGAUAUUUAUAGGGUUUUCUGAAAAGUAGUCAUGUGCAAGGCACAUGCUUUCAAGGAAAUUCUAGAAAUACCCUUUAGUCAUUAGAAUAAUGCCCAUAUUGCUCUGUCCUUCUAGCCACCAAUCUAAUCCCUCAAUCGAUUCCCAAAACGAACCGCCUCCACGAGUCUUCCGCCUCGGGACACGUGGAGGCUUCUCCCGAGUCUAGCACAUUUAUUUCUGACUUUUUUUGUCUUCAUUCCAUUAGGUUAUGUGAACCCUAAUUUGCACAUUUAAUGAGGUCGUGGAACCUUAAUUGUGCAUUUAAUUCAAUUAGGUCAUGUGAACCUUAAUUUUACACUUGGGCCCACAAUAUAUAUAUAUAUAUAUAUAUAUAUAUAUGAAAUCAUUACUACUUUUACUUGAUAUAUGUUACAUGUAUUUGACAUAUGUUACAUGUUGUUGGUAUAUAUAUAUAUAUAUAUAUAUAUAUAUAUUAAUCUUAAUUCCCAUCUAAUAUUAAUUUAAUAUUAGAAAACCUUUUUCUAUUAGAUAAAAAUAUUUUUUUCUUUUAAGACAUAUAAUAACAAUGUAAAUAAUAUGUCCUAGAGCCUUUAAAUGAAAAAUCAAUUAAUAUGCAAUUGACCUUACAUUUGUUUUCCUAGAAAGAAAAACUCUCUUCAUCCAUUUGAAAUUCCCACCAACGUUCUUUUAUCAACAAAUACCCGAAACACCAUAAAACAAUUUAGUAUAUAAUCAUUUCAUCAUCAAAACUUAAGGAUGGAAUAUGACAAAGUCAACAUUAAGCAAAAUUUACAACAAAUACUUCAUAAAAUAUUCCUCUAUUUAUCUCAAUUCACUUGGCUUCCCUAAACAUAUUUUUAAUAACAUUUAUUCAUCAUUAUUAUAACUCGCAAUAUUAACAAACAGAUCAUUCCCAGAAAAGAGGGGGCUUUCUGAUAAGGAUUUUUCUUUAUUGGCGCGCAAUUAGGUGACCAAAUCACUUUUCUCGACAAAACUUUCUAGACAUCGUCAAUAAUGCAAAUAAUAAUAUGAAUAAUUUUGUUGUCUCAAUUAUUAAUUUAAUAAUAUAAAAUAUUGUGCAGAUAAUACUGUGACAAUAAUUGAAUCAAUAAUAUGAGAUACUAUGUAGCAAUUACUGUGACAAUAAUUAAAUAAAACUGAGUGAUUUCUCACGUAAGCACCAAUAAUCAAAGAUAUUGUACAAUACCGUGCGCUACUAUGCAACCACGCGUAUUAUUGUACUUUUAUCAUUGGGGUAUUUCAACAUUUAACGGUAAAAAUUUUGCCGUUAUUUUUAUAAAAAGUUAUUUCUGUCAUUUUUAACUCUGACAAUUAUUCCGUUGUGGGGUCCACCAAUGAUUGUGCCGUCGUACGAAUAUUCCCUAAUAAAAUGAAUAUUCCCCGACCAAUCGAAUAUUUUAUGAUAAAUUACUUACUUUGUAAAAUUUAUAAAUAUUACCCACAACUAUAACAUUAUACCAAAUCCACACCUUAUUACUCAAAAUAAUAUUUGGAGAAAAUUAAAUCUUUAUUCAUAAAAGUUGGGGUCUUACAAUUAUAUAACAGUCAAUCGUGCAAUAAAAUUUAUUCUUGGAGAUCCGUUAGAGAUACAUGCACAGUGGCGAAGCCACAUAUAAUAUUGUGGGGUCAAUUGAUCCCAUUGAAAAAAAAUAAUUACUUUAUAAUGUAAGGUAAAUUUUUAAAUAUUAUAUAUAAAUUGACCCCACUAAAAUUUUAUAAAUUUUCUUUAUAUAGGGUCAAAUUGAAAAUUUAUAACUUUGUCAAUCAAAUUUUAACCACAUAUGACUCAUAUCAUCUCAAUAUAUAUAUAUAUAUAUAUAUAUAUAUAUAUAUAUAUAUAUAUAUAUAAAAGUGUGACUUCAAUGUACAAAAUUAUUAUAAAAAAAAUUGACUAGGAGGCAUUGUCCCUGAACCCAGUCAAAUUAUUUAUAAUUUAGCAAUAAUUUUGAACCCAUUGAAAUUUAUUCCUUGUUUCGCCACUAUACAUGCAGCUAAAAUAUAUACCAAAAAAUUGUUUUGACGUUUUCAAAUUAAAUUAAUAAAAUUGCACAAGUUAACUUCUAAAAUAGUGCAUUAGAUGACAACUCCUUAUUUAAAAAAUUACUUGGUGUUUAAAGUGAUAAUUACUUAUUUGGCUUGAUUUAUUAUUUAAUUUAUAAAGAAGUUUUUCCAUUUCUACCCUCGUUAAAAGUUAAUAAUUCAACAAAUCUCUCUCUCUCUCUCUCUCUCUCUCUCUCUCUCUCUCCAUCAUUGUCGUUUUAUUUAUCAUUAUCCAAACACUACUGCUACAUUAAAAGUUGCUGAGAAAUGCAGUGUUUUAUUUUUUAAUUGUCCUUUUACAUUUUUAGUGUCCUUUUUCUGCAUGAAUGUCUGAUUGCAGGUAAAUUAAGUCUUAUCAUUGUCUGUUAGAAGUUAUCUGCUCAUGUUUAACUUGAGUUUUUCUUUUUUCUUUUUGGUAUUUUGUAAUCAAUAAGUCUAGGCAUAUAUUUUUUUUGGACCGAAUUGUUAGACAUAUCUAAUUUUUUUUCUUUUAAAUCCUAAAAAAUUUAUAAUAUUUAUUUUAACUAAUUUUUUUAUAAAAUUCAAUGAGUUAAAUAUAAUUUGGAUACAUAUAAAAAAUAGAAUUGUACAAUUUAUAUAACACAUGUUUUUUAUAUGUAUCCAAAUUAUACAUAAAUUACUGAAUUAUAUGAUAGAAUGAUUUAAUUGUACGAUAAUUAUUUAUAAAAUAAUUUUUUUCAUUGUUAAACGUUAAUUUCAUAUUAUUCGGAUAGUCAUGAUAUGCUAAAAGCUAUCACUCAUGAUGUAAAAUAAAUAUAAUUAAUUUUAUUAAUUAUUUACAAGAAUUAGUAGUGUUUAAUUUGUUUAAAUAAAAUUGGAACCGUUCUAAUUUUAUUUAUUCUACUACCAUCAUAAUAUUGAACCUAAAUGGUUAUACCAUAAAAAAUAUUGAUUUAAAAGUAAUGACCCAAAUAAUAAUAAAAUAAGUAUAUUAAAUUUGUACCAUGAUGAAAUAAAUUAAAUAUUUUAAUAUUUAUAAUAAAUUAUUUAAGAAAUACUAAUUAUAAAUUAAUAAGUUCCUAAAUAGCUUAGAAAUUAGAUUAAAACUCUAAAUACUAAAGAGUUUAGGAAAGAUGAGUUGAGAGACUUUAUUAUGGAGUAGCGCGUACUACAAUUAUUCAUUCUCAAAUCUAAAUAGUUUAGGAAAGAUAUAGAAGAAAAAAAAAAGGACUAAUCACCUUAGGAUUUUUUAUAACCCUAAAUUAAUCCUUCAUCUAUAUUUUCUUGAUGGAUCACUAUUAGAGUGCUACAAACACCAAGUAACUUACAUUUGAUCCGUGCAAUUGAAGGAGCGUCAAGUGAUAUAAAGAAUUGGAACUUGAAAGACCAAAUUAAAAGUUUAUUUGUUUUUAUCCGGAUAAUUUUAAACCUUACUCAAUUAAUAAUAUCGUAUAAAGAUGAUUCUUGAAAUUAUAAAAAAAAUUAAAUACAAUUUAUAACAUACUUCCGCGUGCGUAUAAUUAUAUUUUAUGCACUAACAAUGCAAAAUAUAUAAAGAUGACUAUAAAUAUGUGCUCAAAAUAAUAGUUGCAUUUUUAAUCAUAUAAACAAAUAUAGCCUUAACAUUUAAAUCAUUAUUCCAAUAACUAUCUAUAGCUUUACGCAUCCAGUCCAACUUAUGGCGAACAUUAUACAUAAUUAUCAUCCGUGCCAAAUUAUCAUAUAAUCUACAUAUAUAUACCCAUGCAAAUUCAUUAAAUAGAUUAUAUGAUAUUAAUUACGACAUAUAAUUCGGCCAACAAAAACACAUAAACCAAACUGCGAAGCAGUAAUAGAUUCUCAAAAUCAUAUACGCUGGACAUAUAUAAAUUGACUUAAUAUAUGAAUUUACAAAUUAAUACAGCUACAAUCUGACAAUUUCAUUGUCAUGAAUGGGCCAGAAAGCUUGUUGUUUAAUUUGGUUAUUUUGCUUUUGUUAGCCAAAAAGUAUGCAUGUAAAUUACUAAGCCAAAUUGCUAGACAUCAUCACGUGAUUACAUUAACCAAAUCGAUACACAUGGACGGAUUACAUGAAUUCAUAUCAUAACAAUCAAAGUGACUUUUUGAUUGGUAAUGCCAAAUUUCAAACAGCAGUACGGUGGAAGUUAAACAGUAAUGUCAUGAUGGGUUCGGCAAAAUUAUUUAACGUCCGUACGUUUAAGCGAUAUAAUCGUAUCAUAGGAGAAAUAAAUUAAUUGGAUCCCUCCGCAGAGUCGGUCUUGGGUUUUCUAAGGCUCAGAGCAAAUUUUUUCAAGUGUGUCUUUUUAUAUAAAUUAAAUAAAAAUAAAAAAAUUAUCAACUAAUUAUUUUUUAUUAAAAUUAUAAAAAAUUACAAAAGAUAAGGAAGAACACUUUAAAAUGUCAUCGAAACAAAGAAUUAUCACAUGUACCUACAAAAUAAAAAUAUCAAUGAAAUCGGUAAAACUAAUGAAAUACACAUUGUAGUUGGCAAGUUUUACUGAUUACACAAUUGAACUUUUAAUUUUUUUAAAUUACCACACUAAACUAAUUAUUAUUUUAAAAUUGAGUUAUUCCGUUAAAAAAAAUAAACGGACGUUAAUUUUUUAUCUACAAAACUAAUGAAUUACCCACUGUAGUUGGCACGUAUUACUGAUUACACUAUUGAACUUUUAAUUUUUCAGAUUAUCCCAUUAAACUAAUUAAAAAAUGAUUAUUUUAAAUAUUUUUAAAAAUAAUUAUUAUUUUCAGUAAAAAAUAUUAGAAACUUUAAUUUUUUUUUCCAUAAAAUGAGUAAAGUUUCAUAAAAUAUAGAUUUAAAAAAAUUAAAGUUUUAUGAAACCUUAUUGAUUUUUAAAUUAUUUUUUUCCUUUUGAAAAUAAAGUUUAUUUUUUUGAAUCUAUAUUUUAUAAAAUUUUACUCAUUUUUUUAAAAUAUGAAGAAUUUUCUAAUUUUUUUCUUAAAAAUAAUAUUUAUUUAUAAAAAUUAUUAAUUUCUUUUUUGAAAAACUUGAAUUAGUUUUUCUAUUUAUCUUUUACUGUUUUUUUAUUUUAAUUUUAAUUUUUAGUUUUUUUAAAAAAAUCUAAUAUUAAGAAUGGGUCAUUCUGUUAAAAAAUUAAGUAGACAUUAAUUUAAUUUAAAAUCACUUUAAUUUUUUUGAAUCUAUAUUUUAUAAAACUCUACUCAUUUUAUGAAGAAAAAAAAAUUCUAAUAUUUUUUACUUAAAAUAAUAAUUAUUUUUAAAAAUAUUUAAAAUAAUUAUUUUUAAUUAGUUUGAUGGGGUAAUUUGAAAAAUUAAAAGUUCAAUGGUAUAAUUAGUAAAAUGUGCCAACUACAGUGGGGUAAUUCAUUAGUUUUGUAGAUAAAAAAUAAACGUCCGUUUAUUUUUUUUAACGGAAUGACCCAAUUUUAAAAUAAUAAUUAAUUUAGUGGUGUAAUUUAAAAAAUUAAAAGUUCAAUGGUGUAAUUAGUAAAACCUACCAACUACAGUGAGUAUUUCUUUAGUUUUGCCCAAUAAAAUUUAAACCACAAAACAUCAUUUAAAAUAUUUUCUUGUUAUACUUUUAGAUGCAAAAUCAUCAAUUAUACUAUCAUAUUUAAUGUUUUCUAACAUAUCAUUUUUAAUGUAUAAUAUCGCUAAUCUUUUUAUUAUUUUAUUUUUUCUAUACACAUAAAUAUAUAGCUUAUAAAAAAAUAAAAAAAUAUGGGCCCCUCAACUGUGGGCCCUGGGCGGUUGCCCUGUUGGCCCUUGCCCAGGGCCGGCUCUGUCCCUCAAUAAAUUAUUUUUAUAUAUAAAAAAAUUAACUUUAUUUGGUGAAGUUCUGAUACUAAUUAUAAUUAUUAAUUUGUAAUAAUUCAUUUUAUCCGUAUACAUAAAUAGGAGAAGAACACGUAGAAUUAGACCUGACAAUUUAAUUUAUAAACUGAUGAGUCAACUUAUAUUAAUUAUAAUUAUUUGGCUUGGUUAAUUAUUUUAAAUUCUAUGAUUUGAUUUAAAUUUGAACCUAUAUUUAAAAAAUAAAAAAAAAACAGACCCAAACUAAUUAACUAAUUUUGACCUUUUUUUUUUUCCAUUAUCUUGACCUACUUGAUUUCUUCGUAUGUAAAGGUAUUCCAGAAUUCGCAAGGUAUUGGAAUAUGUAAAUAAAUGAGGUUCAAGGGAUGUGAAUUCAAAUAUGUCUGUCAUGCAAUAUACUGAAUCGUCUUGUUUUGAUUUCUUUUCUUUUCAUGUACAGUCUGUGUCUAUCAAGGUGGUUAUUGCUACUUUGAUUGAACGGAAUUAUACUUAUUUUAUGUUUAAUUAAAAAAAAUUGUUAAUUUAAAAAUAAUAAUAUAAUAAUAAAAUUAUUAUGGCAUUAUGUCAUUAUAUACUAGGAUCAAUAAAAAUAUUACUUUUCUCAUUCCAAAAUUAGAUAUAUAUUUUGAUUUUUUCGAGUUAAUUCGCGAAAUUUUAAAAUUCAAAAUUGAUAUGAAUUUACUUAGUUUUAAUACAAAUAAAUAUAACAAUUGUAAAUUAAUUAUAAAGUACUAUUAAUUAUCAUCUUUGUUGUUUUUAAAACUUAAACGAAAUUAUAUAUCAAUUUGGAGUUUUCGGAUUUUCCUAAUUGAUUUAAAAAAGUCAAAAUGUAUUUUUGAUUUUGGAACGAAGACAAUACUUUUUUUUCUAAAAAAAAUACAAAUUAGACUCUUUUUAAGAGUACAAGGUUGAAUGCAACUAUAAAAAUACUUAUACAAAAUAUUUGGUAAUUAAAAAAAAGACAAAAAAAGAAAAUGUUAUUUUGUGAUGAAUGGACUUUUCUAAAUAAAUGUGCUUUCUAAGUGUUGGGUCCUGACCUACUGGACCGAAUGGAUUGAGCCACUUAUUUGGUUAUUCUCUUGGGUCAUUAUUAUUGGGCCUUGUUAUUAGACUAAUUCAUUGGAUUAUCUUGAUUAGAUCUUACAAAGUCUUGGGUCGAAUUAUUGAACCGGCCCAUUAGAUAAUUUAAAUAUCUACAUCUUUGACUUGUAAUGAUGGAAAAAGAUAACGGUUGACCGAGAUCUCUGCCAUGCAUUAAUGUGGAUGAGAUUAUAGUCGGCCGGCGGUGGUGACCAGUGACAGUAUGUAGUGGGUGAGCUGCAUGCAGUCGGAUGAGACCGUCAGAGUCAGUGGAUAGACGUCAGAUAGCAGUAAAAGGCACGGUUAACCGGGCAGGAGAGUAUAACAUAGCAAAGAAGUCAUCCAAGUAAAGGUAACUGAUAAUUUUAUCUUUCUCAAUACACUAGAUAUUUUAUCCUCCAUUGUUAACCUUGUGAUCGCCUGUACUGACUCUCACGCCUGAGCUAUCCCCCGACGGUCGAAGCCGUCAAGCUUUUGGUAUUGAUCGUGUUUAUUGUGCAUGAUCAGGACGUCUUACGUGAUAGGGACGUGGCAGAAGAUCUUGGCGUUAACAUUGGCGCUAAAAGGAGGGGUGUGUUCUAGUGUUAUUGAGAUUUCAAUCACAAGUUCCCAUUUGUUCUACUUCGGAAGAUGGUGAGAAGUAGAGAUAAUACACCGGAGGGACAGCCGGAGGCUGUAAGUUCAUCCUUGCCUCGUGUUUCAGUUAAGAAUCGUCUGGGUCCUUCCAAAAGUGCUCAUGAGAGUACGGCUUCCAAGCAUGAUUCAGGGGGUUCUCGUUCGAGAGCCCAUGGUGAAGCCCGAAGAAGAUUGAACUUUGCUGCUGAUAAGGAGCGUGACCAUGGCCGAAAGCGGGUAGAAGGUUCACCGCCUAGGACACAUCAUCGAAGUGGUCGAGAUGAUAAAGCUGCCAAGUUGGCAAGGAUGGUAGAAGAAGCGGAUAAAGCUUUGGAUGUUCUUCUAAAGCAAAGAGAAGAUAUAGCCGAACAGAUGCUUCGGAUUGCAGAGUUGAGGGACGAGGCGUCUAGUCAUGUUCAAUCCGAGAGGCGUAGUAGGCCUAAGGAUGUACAGCAGCGAGACAGAAAAGAGCCGGAACAUUCUAUUCGUGUCUCUCGAGGAUAACCUCAGGAGCGAAGGAGAUCAAGGAGCAGAACCCCUGAGGUGUCAAAGAAAGCGUUUCUGGUUAUCGAUUCUCAAGGUCGUGAUGGAGGCAGACAAAGGAGCCGGUCAAGAGAGCAUAUACCUGAGAAUAGAAAGAGAGAGCACCAGCAUGAAUAUUCUCAUCGUGAUGACAUGGCCACGCGCCGAAGUAGAUCCAAAAGUCCAUCAAAGGCAGUGGGGUCUGAUAGAGGAGGUCGGUCCACUCAGAAGAAGAAAAUAUCUCCAGAGAAGGAAGUCUCCUCGAAACCGGAAUGUGUGGAUUUCUUGGUGAAGGAGUUGAAGGAGCAGACCUCAACGAUCUUCAAGCUAUCGGGUUAUUUCAGAAUGGGUUAGAUUUGGUGAAAUUGGAGAAGUUGGUGAAGAAGUUGAUGUUUCACCAUCCGAAGAGCUUAGCCGAAGCCUUUGAUAAAGCCGAAGGCUAUAUUGUAGUGGAGGAGGCUAUGAAUAGCCUGAAACGUCCUUCUUCGGACCGCAUGAAGGAGAUAGAUACUUCUAAGGCUGAGGGCGAUUAGAAGAAGGUUGGAGGGAAUAAUGAUCGGCCAGAGGGCAGCUCAAAGAAGUACAACAACACAUGGCGACAGGGAAGUAUCGCCCACCUGUUCCUACCCAGAAGGUGAACAAGGUUUACACUAAACUGAACAUGGAUAGGUCGGUGAUAUUGGAUCAGAUCAGGAACCAGCCGUUCUUUGAACCACCUCGUGAUAAUUUUAAGCCAGGACAGGGCAAUGCUCGAUAAUUUUGUGGCUAUCAUCAAGCUACAAGUCACGAUACAAAUGAAUGCUGUAAUCUGAAGGACUUUGUGGAGAGGAAGAUUCAGAGCGGUAUGUUAGUUCAGUAUGUGGCCAGAAGGGAUCAUCAGCAGGAACAACAGAAUGCAGAUCGGACUGUUCAAGUGGUUCAACUGGUUCCACCCAUACAACCUACUCCAAAUCAGCCACCAAGGCACGUCGUUGAUGUAAUAACCGGUGGGACGGCAGGAAAGUUGGUAGGGAAGAAGAGGAGAGGAUAUCUGGACUCGGUCAUGUCCGUGGCGGGUGUUCUCCCGAAGGUUGAUAGACCGUUUCCAGGGACAGUUAUAACUUUUAUUGAUGCAGAUUAUCCUUCGGAGCCCAUCGAACCCCAUGAAGGAGCACUGGUGAUCAUGGCACAAGUGGGUUCGGUAGACAUGAAACGGAUGAUGAUAGACAACGGGUCUUCCGUGGAUAUUCUGUAUGCCCAUGCUUAUCAGAGGAUGCAUCUUGAUGGGCGAAAGAUGGAAGUGGGUCAGGAGGCUCCUUUAUAUGGCUUCAGCAAUGAUCCGGUUAAAGUGGCAGGAACUAUUGAGCUACCAGUCAUCUUCGGUACCGCUCUACAACAGGUAGAAAUAACUUGUAAAUUCUAUGUUGUGCAUGUAGAUUCGGCCUACAACGCCAUAUUGGGACGACCUACUUUGACAGCUCUGCAAGCUGUGACUUCCAUUCCUCAUUUUAAGAUCAAGUUCCCAACAACACAUGGAGUUGGGGAGGUAGCGGGAGACUUGGAUCUGGCCAGACGAUGCUAUCAGAACGCUAUGAUAGCUUCGGGAGUAGGUGUCAGCAAGCAGAAGUAGACCAUGGCGAUAGAAAUCGAGCCAUUUACCGAAAGCAGUUCGGAGCCAUUUGUUAUGCCUGUAGGAGAAACGGAGGAGAUCGAGCUGGUUCUUGGGAAGAAGGACAAAACAAUGAAGAUAGGUUCGGGUCUGCCGGAACCCCUUCGGACAAACCUUAUGGAACUUCUUCGCUGUUAUGUGGAUAUUUUUGCAUGAGAGCCUCAGGACAUGUCGGGAGUCAGCCAAAAGAUUGCUGAGCACCGGUUGGACGUAGAUCCUUCAAAGAAGCCAAUUCAGCAGAAAAGGCGUAUUUUUGCACCUGAGCGUCAGAGGAUCAUUGAUGAAGAGAUUGCAAAGCUGAUAGCUGCUGACUUCAUCUUUGAAAUAGAUUACCCGAAGUGGAUGGCCAAUGUGGUGCUGGUGCAGAAGCAGAAUGGAAAGUGGCGAGUAUACAUCGACUACACAGACCUGAACAAAGCUUGCCCGAAGGACUUCUAUCCUCUACCUCACAUUGAUUAACUUAUCGAUGCGACUUCGGGGUAUGCACUACUAAGAUUUAUGGAUGCUUUUUCAGGUUAUCAUCAAAUUUCUAUGUGCAAAGAGGAUAUUCUGAAGACAACUUUCAUCAUGCAUCGUUCGAUGUACGCUUACAAGAAAAUGACAUUUGGCUUAAUCAAUGCUGGAGCCACUUAUCAAAGAAUAAUGACUUUGUCUUUCAAAAGCAGCUAGGAAGGAAUAUGGAGGUAUAUGUGGAUGACAUGAUAGUGAAAAGCAUGAUCGUUCAGAAGCACUUGGAUGAUCUUGAGGAAUGCUUUCAGACGGUUCGUCAUCACAAAUUAAGGCUUAAUCCCACCAAAUGCACUUUCAAACUCGGUGCAGGGAAAUUCUUAGGUUAUCUGGUCAGUCAGAGAGGCAUUGAGGCCAAUCCAGAGAAGAUCCAGGCUAUUCUGAACAUGAAGACUCCUCAGUCAUUCAAAGAUAUUCAGCGUCUGACAGGGAGGAUUGCAUCUUUGAGGAGGUUCAUGUCCAAGUCAGCAGAGAGGUGUUUGCCGUUCUUUAGCACGUUGAAAGGAUCGAAGAAUGCCAAGACGUUCCAAUGGAAUUCAGAAUAUGAAGAUGCUUUCCAAGGCAUAAAGACGCAUUUGUCUUCGGCACCUUUGCUGGUGAAGCCAGUUCCUGCUGAACCACUGUAUCUGUAUCUGGCAGCUAGUUCGUUGGCGGUGGGAGCAGUGCUGGUUCGAGAAGUUGGGGGGAAGUAGCAUCCAGUUUACUAUGUCAGUCAUGUUCUAAGGGAUGCUGAAACCAGGUACCCAAAUAUUGAAAAUUUUGCCUUUGCUUUGAUAAUAGCCAGUCGAAAGCUUAGGCAAUAUUUUCAAGGUCGAUUCUUGGUCGUUUACACGGAUCAACCGCUGAAGAAGGUGAUGAGCAAACCAGAAGUUUUGGGGAGAUUGGUUGCAUGGACAAUGAAAUUGUCCCAAUUUUUCAUCGAAUUUCAUCCCCGAACAGCUAUAAAGGGGAAAGCCUUGGCUGAUUUUAUGGUGGAGUGUUCAUUUUCCGAAGCUGAUGCAGAGUUGCCAAAGGCUGAAGUGUCCGACCGAGCAGUUGUAGUUCUUCAGCACAACCAGAGUUCGUGGACGCUGUAUGCAGAUGGAUCUUCAACUACGGAUGUCAGUGGAGCAGGGAUUAUCUUGACAAGUUCGGAGGGAUUCAAGGUGCAGCAGGCCAUCAGAUUUGGGUUCAGAGCAACGAACAACGAGGCAGAGUACGAAGCAGUGCUAGCGGGAGUUCGACUGGCGAAGAGUCUCGAAGUUCAGAAGUUGAUCAUCUAAAAUGACUCUCAGUUGGUCGUCAAGCUGGUUUCAGGGGAGUAUGAAGCUCGAGGUUCAAGGAUGAUCAAGUAUUUGGCCGAGUUGAAGGAUCGACUUCAAUAUUUUCUCUCCUAUGAGUUUCAGGGUGUAGAUCACAAUGACAAUUCUAUUUCCGAUGCAUUGUUGAAGUUGGAUACUACAGAUGCCAACAAUUUUGAUGGGUCAGUUUAUUUGGAGGUUCUGCAACAGCUGAGUAUUCAGCAUGAAGCCGUGAUGUGCAUUGAACGUUCUAACUGUUGGAUGACUCCCUAUAUAGAAUAUCUGGCAGAUGGCAUCCUUCCUUCGGAUCAGAUGCUAGCAAAGAAGAUCAAGUAUAAGAGCGCUAAUUUUGUUCUCAUUGAUGGAGAUCUUUAUCGAAGGGCUUUUUCAUCACCUUUGUUGAAGUGUCUAGUUCUAUCUGAAGCCGAAUAUGCUCUUCGAGAGGUUUACGAGGGCAUCUAUGGCGACCAUAUGGCUGCUAAGUCAUUAGCCUUCAAAGUACUUCGACAGGGAUUCUACUGGCCUACUAUCUUCAAGGAAGCUACAGAGUACGUGAAGAAGUAUGAAAAGUGUCAGCUCAAUAGCCCAAUCCCGCAUCAGCCACCAGAAGAGCUAUACUCGAUCUUAUCUCCUAUACCCUUUGCUGUCUGGGGGGGUAGAUAUACUGGGUCCAUUGUUGAAAGAUAAGGGUCGGGUCAGUUUUGUUAUAGUCGCUAUUAAUUAUAUGACCAAAUGGGUAGAAGCGAAGCCACUUAGGUUGAUAACGGAACAAGAGUGCUUGAAGUUCAUGGAGGAGUCAGUAGUGUUUCAUUUCGGAAUUCCUAAGGUGGUGAUAUCGGACAACGGAUGCCAAUUUGUGGGAUCGAAGUUUGAAGGAUUUCUGAAGGAGUUGGGAAUUCAACAUAGAAAGACUUCGGUGGCUCAUCCACAGUCGAACGGGCAGGUCGAGGUGACCAACAGAACGCUGCUGAAUGGGAUCAAGCGCAGACUGGAUGAAGCUAAGGGGAGAUGGCCUGAAGAGCUUCUCAGCGUGUUGUGGGCUUAUCGAACUACUCCGAGGACCACUACAGGGGAUUCACCUUUCAGACUGGCCUAUGGUACUGAUGCCUUAGUCCCAGUUGAAAUUGGAUCUCCAAGUCUUCGGGUUAGUUAGUUCAAGGAGAUCUACAAUGAUGAAGGACUGAAAGUCAACAUGGAUCUGUUGGAAGAAGUCAGAGAGACAGCUUUGAUCAGAUUGGUAACCUAUCAGCGAAGAGUGGCUAAACAUUACAAUAAGGGGGUAAAACUUCAUAGAUUUGAAGUGGGAGAUUUUGUCCUCGGGGAAGUCGAAGCUUCUACACCUCAGAACUUGGAAAAGCUGAUGCCGAACUGGGAAGGACCGUAUGAAGUAGUUGAAGUUCCGAAGCCAGGAACUUAUCGGUUAAGGGCAUUGGACGGAUCCGAGAUCAAGAACACUUGGCAUGCUGGUAGAGUUCAGAAGUAUUUUCAGUAAAGAUCGAGUCAGUAUCCCGGAAGUCUGUAAAUGUUGGAUCAUCAUCAAUAAAAUAUUCACUUUUUCACAAUUGAUCUUCUUCCUAUUGGUUCUAAAUUCACAAUGGUGUAAAGAGGACGGGGUGGACUCGCUGACCAUUCGAUGGUAGCCUUUUUGGCAGGUGUUCCUUAUAAAUUUGUCAGGCCCUUCGUGGUAGGCAAACUUCAUCGGUGUAAGAAGGACGAGGUGGACUCGCUGACGAUUCGAUGGUAGCCUUAUCGGCAAGAGUGUUCUCAUGGGUUUGUUAUACCCUACGUGGUAGACAAAUUCCAUAGUCCUUUUAUGAUUUGUUUUACACCCCGAGUGGUAAACAAAUGCACCGAAGUAAGGAGGUUCGGUUGGACUCGCUGACCAUUCGAUGGUAGCCCUAUUGUUAGGUGUGUCCUAUUGAAUUUGUUCUACCCCGAGUGGUAAAUAGAUGUCCUUAUAUACUUGUUUCACCCCGAGUGAUAAACAAGAUCCUGAUGGUGCAAGGAGGAUCAGCCGAAUUCACCUUAUGCCUAAUCUGUCUCACACUUCGGUAACGAUAAGUAUGCAUUAUUUUAUUUUGUUCAAGUGUUGAGUUCGGUUCAUUAUGUCCGGUAUAUGAUAUUCUUUAACUUAAUUGAUUAUAUGAUCUGUUUGCUUACCUGGUUCACAAAUUUAAGUUAAGUUCAAACGCAUCUUAUACAGUUUUGAAGUUGAUUGAUGCUGAAUUAUUGACAAGAAAUGAACUAUACUGAAGUCAUAAGGAGUAAAGUUAACUAUUCAUUAAUACUUAACCGAUUACAUCAAAAAGGAUGAAAAUUCUUUACAAGAUAAACUUAAAUCUAGGAAGAAGUGAUAAACUAUUUCAGGCAUCAUCCUCGCCUUCAGAAGAGUACAGAAGAGCUGGGUCUAGAUGGGCUACAAUCAACUUUUCCUUGCCCCGACCUCUGCAAACUUCAUAACCCUCAGAAUAUACCUUUAGAACUUCUGCAUUCAGCUCAUCGGACUUCCGAUAUUCUUCUUGGAUUUGUUUACGCAGUUCUUCGGUCAGAGGAGGGCUUAACUCCUCUAAUGCCUUUAGUUUAUCUUGAAGCUUGCGACGUCUGGCCAAGUGUCUUUCUUUAUCAUCUCGAGCCUUCUCCUGGAGUUCAUCAACUCGUUUGGCCAAACUCAGAUUGGUUGUAGCCAUUUUUUCAUUUUUUGUCUUCAGAACCUCGUUCUUUUCAACAAGAUUGAUGUUCAUAUUGGUCAGAUCUUGUUGGCUGGCCUUAGUUGUCUUCAGCUCUUCUGUGAACGAGUUCAGUUCUUCCUUGGACGAUUUAAGCUCUUCCUUGGUCUGAGUUAAAUCCUUUUGAAGGCAUUCAUUGUUGAAGAGAGAAAUAUCACAGUCAUGUCUUGCCUUCGCCAUCGCAGACUGUAAUAUUACAUUCUCUUUUCUAGCCGCUUCUUCUGCGGCUUCGGAUUCAAGAUGUUUAGGGCGUAAACGCCCAAAAAUAGCAUUGGCCUGUACAUGUUCAGAAUUAUUUAAUCAAUCUCAGAUAUCUAACCUAAGCAUGAAAAGGAGUAUGAAGAUUGGGGAAGAUCUUUACCUGCGCUAUAUAGCUCAUGCCUUCAUCAAGUAGAUCCCCGAUCGAGCUGUUGCCAAAUCGAUGAUCGUCGGUUUCCCGAACAAACGAAUUGAAGAGCUGGAAGGGAAAGUUGGCAUUAAAUCGGGGCCAUAGAGUUGGCGAUGCCAUUGCUUCAUUUUGGAACUCGUAGGAUGAAGGUCCUAGGGGAGUGGGUAUGGGUUGAUCACGAGGUGGUGAUGGAUCCAUAUAUACAUUCUCAGGAGAUGGAGAUCGAAUUGGAGUAGGUUCUCGAGGUGGUGAUGGAGCAGACGUUGAAUUUGGGUGACUAUCUGAGGGAUGUUUUCUCUUUCGAGACAAUGCUGGAACAGGUUCGACUUGCUCUUCAUCAUCAGAGACAUGUAUCUCCACAAGGACUACAGGAGUUGGAUUAGCUGAAGAUGAAGGCACUCGAAGUUCAUCGGUUGUCAGAGGGGUGACUUUGGUUCUUAAUUUUUUGACUCGAAGGAGUCGUUUCCGAUCGUCUACGGGUAGAUCGAGUAAACUCCCUCGGCCAGAGGUUGGAUUGGUAGUUGGUGCAGGUUCUGGGAUAGUUUCAAUUUCUGGGAUUGUUUCAGGUUCUAUUGGUGUUGGUUUGGAUCUAGGUUUUCGGAUACCUCUCUUUUUUCGGUGUGGUUGAAGGGAUUCUUCUAGGGGAAUGAGGUCAUCGGCUUCUGGCUCAUUUAUUUGAGGUUCAGAAGUAUGUGUUUCAAGGGUUGGAUUGUCUUCGGGUGCAGCUUCUAUCAGGGGAGUUUCAGCAGCUUCCGAAGAUUUUCCAGACAGAAAAUCUUUCAAGUCUUUCACAUCCGAGGAUGUUUGCUUAAUCAAAGACACUGCAAAAGUCAAAAAGUCAUAUGUCAGAAUCUACAUCACUUCAAAUUUCAAAUAAUUGCACAACAAAAUAAUUCAGAACUUACAUUUGUGUUCAUCCAACCAGGCUUGCUUAGUAAGAAGCAGGUAAUUCCAUUCCUUUGACGGGAAGUUCUCGAACAGUUCUAUCAUUUCACUCACAUGUUCCUCUGGGAUGUCACCAAAGUCGGCAGAAACUACGUCAUCAGUGGCCCAGUUCGGCAAGGAGGCAAUCUCUGGUCCCUUAAUGAAGAACCACCCUUUGUGUCAUCCUUUGUUGCUAGAUGGGGUGGAGACCAACGAGCGUCUGCCAAAUUUCUCUCCUAACUUCGGAGAUUGUUUACCCAUGACCUUAAACCCCUUUUCUCGGGAUUGGCUGACCUUGUAGAUAGUGAAGAAGAAAUCGAGAGUGGGCUCUACUCCAACUUCAUGACAGAAUGCGAUGAAGGCCAGAAUAUGGAUGUAGGAGUUCGGUACCAACUGGGCGAACCCAACGCCAAUAAACCCUAGGAGGGUUAUUAUGAAUACAUGAAGAGGGAAUCGAACCCCCUUCUCAAGGAUGGUCACAAGAAUGGUCGUCCAACCUUCUGGCCUUUGAUACAUUCUCUCGCCGGAUCUAGGGGCUCUUACCAUGUGGGUGUCCGGAAUAUGAUAUCGAGUUCGAAUCCUUUUCAGUUCAAUUUCAGUAACGGUUGAUGGAGUGUUAGCAUGAGCAUAGCGUUCUGUACUCCUAUAGAAUUCAGAGGGGGUAGGAGAGGUUUUUGGAGGUGGGUUCUUGCUUGGAUUUGCAGUUUUGGGGUUCGAACUCGAGGCUUCUUUGUUAGGGCUUGGGUUAGGCAGAACGGUGGUGAUUGGAGUCACAGAAGAGGUGAACCUUGCUCGAAAUCUUGAGAAGCCAUGGAUAUCGAGUUGCAGUAAGGAGAAGAGAGUUCGAAGGAGAAGACAAAGAACUCAAGGGUCAGAAAUUCAAAUUGACAGGUAAAACUAUCAAUUUAGGGGAAAUUAUCUUUUAUACUAACGGUUACACAGUACACGAGGGCAGCACAUUAAUUGACAGUCAUAAUCAUGAAUUUGGAGGGGUAGCGUCCAAGAGAAGUUUUGAUAUUUAACCGGUUUGGGUCUUUCAUUUGGGCUUUCGGUUUUAGUUCAUCUUCUUAUUUUAAUUCAUUUUCGUUUGGGCCUUAAUGAAUUUCGUUUUGGGGGUCUUUCAAUCCUAUUUGAUUCUUCAUAUCAUGGACCAUUUAUUUUUUUCUAUUAAACACCUUGUUUAAUAAAAAACUAGGGGGCAAUGUUGGGUCAUGAUAUUUCACCUACUGGGCCGAAUGGAUUGGGCCUACGUAUUUGGUUAUUCUCUUGGGUCAUUAUUAUUGGGCCUUGUUAUUAGACUAAUUCAUUGGAUUAUCUUGAUUGGGUCUUACAAAGUCUUGGGCCGAAUUAUUGAACCGACCCAUUAGAUAAUUUAAAUAUCUACAUCUUUGAGUUGCAAUGAUGGAAAAAGAUAACGGUUGGCCGAGAUCUCUGCCAUCCAUUAAUGUGGAUGGGAUUAUAGUCGGCCGACGGUGGUGAACAGUGAUAGUAUGUAGUGGGUGAGCUGCAUGCAGUCGGAUGAGACCGUUAGAUUCAGUGGAUAGACGUCAGAUAGCAGUAGAAGGCAUGGUUAACCGGGCAGGAGAGUAUAACAUAGCAAGGAAGUCAUCCAAGUAAAGGUAACUGAUAAUUUUAUCUUUCUCAAUACACUAGAUAUUUUAUCCUCCAUUGUUAGCCUUGUGAUCGCCUAUACUGACUCUUACGCCUGAGCUAUCCCCCGACGGUCGAAGCCGUCAAGAUUUUGGUGUUGAUCGUGUUUAUUGUGCAGGAUCAGGACGUCUUACGUUAUUGGGACAUAGCAGAAGAUCUUGGUAUUAACACUAAGUAUGUUUCGUACAUACGUUAAAACUAGUGCUAAGACACUUAUUCUCUUCUAUGAUAAUCAUGUGUUAGGUAUUUUUCUUUUCAUUGACGUUGAUGAAUUUCUGGUUUUGGAUUAAUUAAUUCUCAGGUUUAAUUGAUGCAUAAGUUUGAAAAAAGGUUAAUUUUGUCUAACAAAAACUUAAAAACAUCACAAGUAAUUAAAUUUUAGAGAGAGUGUGUGUAUAAAAGUUUUAGAGAGAGAAGUUAAAAGGAAGAUAUAAAAAAUAAAUUUAAAGUAAUUUAUUUAAUUGGACCAUAAUAAAUUAAUAAUGGUAAGCUUGAAAUUUGAAAUACGUGUUUACCUAUAUUUGACCCAUAACUAUAUAGUUUCAACCCACAUAAUUCAUAAUUAUAUAAUUCCAACCCACAUAAUCCAUAAUUAUAUAAUUUCAACCCACAUAAUUCAUAUUAAAAAUAAGUAAUAUGGUUUUAAUUCUUAAAUAGAAUCAUAACUAAAUUAUAUAAACCAAAAUUAACCCAUUACCAUACCUACGUAUAUAGAAAAUAAUAAUAUUGUGUAACUUAUUUGGAAUUCAUAAUGAGCUACCGCAACAGAAUUGAUCUUUCUGAAUGACCAAAUUACUACUCCCUUAAUGCCUUAAAUGUUGGCUUGAUGAGAAACCUUCAAUAGCCUUCCUAGUAUUAUGAAAAUUGGUAUGUGUAUAGAAUCAAGGGGGAUGACAUAGUUCUUUAUUUAUAAUAAUUCUGAUUAGCAAUCCUAGUGAAACUACUUAUCACAAUCUCAAAAUGUUAUUUAAAUAACUCAUACUGGUCAAUCUAUAACGCUCCCAAAAUAAGUAUACAUCAUCUAUUUUGAGUCGUCAAAUACAUGGUACAAAAUACAAAUACAAACUUAAUUAUAGAACAUGAGCUGAGAGUUUUUACACGAAUAUUGUCUUCUAGACAAUAUCUAAACUCAAAUGGAGUCCUCAUUAUAAUUAUUAUCACAUUAUUUCAUAGAAUAGUGAGUACUACUACAACACCAUCUCAAAUCAUUACUCCGUUCCCCGACAAGUCCCGGCUACGUUUUCAUUUCCUGAAGAGAACAAUGAAAGCAAAAGGGUGAGCUCAACUAGCCAGUAAGAAAUAUUAUGACUAAGUUAAUACAGAAUAAAUUAUCGUUAGCCUUCAACAGUGUUAAGCUGAUAAAAUACAAUAAACAUCAAGUUUAACUGCAGCGGAACAAGCAAUCCAUUAGAAGAGUAAAGUAGAGCAUGAUAUCUACUAUCUUCUAUGAUUUAAAAAGGUUAUCAUCAAUUUUAUCGUUGAGACUCAGCUUAAUAAAUAAUCCACAUCACUAAAUUAUCCAUGCACUACGGGCCAAUGAGGACUUUUACCACAUUAUAUGUAACAUUACGGUCAUGAUUAUACUGAAUAAUCCCUGGUCAUAAUCAUACUAAUCAACAGUACAUCUAUGCACUACGACCAAAGAUGACUUUCAUCACAAUAUAAGCAUGAGGAUGAUGACAAUGAUACAAGAAUUCAAUUAAAUAAAAGCAAAGAUAAAUUUUAAAGAUUUAUAAUUUAAUUUAUCCAGAAUUCAAUAGCGCCCAAAUUGUCAACAUGAUACUGCUUUGUGGAGUAAAUUAUUAUAUCAAAAAUAAUUUGGACAGAGAAGAAAUUAAUUUUUGUCAUGAAUAGUACCUGAGUGAAUAGUACCCCAUGAAUAGUACUUUAUAAAUAGUACUUCGGAAAUAGUACUUUAUGAAUAGUACCCCGUGAAUAGUAUUUUGUGAAUAGUACCUCGUGAAUAGUACUUUGUGAAUAGUGCCCUAUGAAUAGUACUUUGUGAAUAGUACCCCGUGAACAAUACUCCAACAUGAAAAGAUUAAAAAUUAUCAAAAAUGUUCAGAAAAAUAUCCUUCUGAAAUGAUACUAGAUGAAGCGCAAAUUUCAAGGAUAUUCUACUAAUUUCACGGAAUAUAGAAUCAAUACUUUAACAAAAUGAGUGUAGAAGUAGGUGUAAGACCCCAAAUUUUAUAAAUAAAAUUGAAUUUCCUCUAUUUAUUAUUUUGAAAUAAUAAGGUGUUAAUUUGAUAUAAUACUUUGGUUAUGGGUGAAAUGAACAAAUUUUGCAAAAUAAGCAAGUAGUUAUAAAAUAUUCAUUGUUGUCGGGGAAUAUUCGUUUGGUCGUGAAAUAUUCUUGUUGUCACGAAAUAUUCGUACGACGGCGCAGCCAUUUGUGGGCCCUAUAACGUAAAACGUUCAGAUGAAGACAAAUGAAUAUUUGGUUCAAGAUGUAUAUUGAUUGAUGUUUCAGGGAUAAAAUAUUGAUGAUGGACUUUAAAAUCAUAGAAGACAUUAGAUUUUAUUCUCUACUAAACUCUUCUAAUGAAUUGUUAUUUUCGCUGUGAAUAUUGAUCUAAAACUUGUUGUCCAUUAUAUUUUAUCUGAUUUGUUGAAGGCUAACGAUAAUUGUUGUUCAUUAUCUUAGUCAUAAUAUUCUUUACUGGGCUAGUUGAGCUCACCCUUUUCCUUUUUGUUCCAUUUUUUUCUCAGGAGGCGAGAAUAUAACGGGAACUAGUCGGGGUAUGGAAUGAUGGUUCUAGACAGUUAUUUUAGCAGUUCUCACUAUUUUUGUAAAAUAGUGUAUCAAUAAUUAUAAUGAGGACUUAUUUGAGUGUGGAUAUUGUCUAGAAGACAAUAUUUGUAUUUAAACUCACAGUAUAUGUGUUAUCAUAUUUUGCACGACAAUUGUAAUAAUAAAGUUGUAGUUGUUUUCUGUACCAUGUUUUUGGCGACCAAAGAUGGGUGAUGUAUACCUAUUUUGGGGGCGUCACAGUUGGUAUUAGAGCUUAGGGAUAUGGUCUCUGGCGGAGAUAGAACUAGGAGGGGAGAGACGAGUAAAUCCUUCGCUAGUGUGUCCUACCUAAGCUUAUUUGUUGGUUGGUCAGAAUAUAGGGGUAUUAUGUGGUAUGUUAUUUUCUUUAAUUAACCCUUGUUUUGUGGCAAUAUUUGAGAAUGGUAGCUGGAAAUGUUAACAACGGAGUAAAUGAGACCGUGGAGACACCUUUAAUCACCAACCAGGAGAACGUGCAACAGGACGACAAUGUUCCUCUUGUAAACAACACCACCGAUCAAAUGAUGAAUGAUGGAUGUUUAGAAGCUUUUUUGCAGUUCAUGCAAAAUCAGACGAGGGAGACUCGUGAACAAAAUACGGGUGAAAAUGAUAGCAACGCGCGGCUUGUCACAGCCAAGUAGUUCAAAGAGUUGGGACCACAAGAGUUUUUGGGAAAGCCAAAUCCGAUUAAGGCAAAAACGUGGGUUAAGAAAAUUUCAAGAUAUUUGAUGUCUUGGGAUUCAUAGAGGAAUAGAAGGUUCUAUUCUCCACCUUUAUGUUCCGUGGUUAGGCAGAUUACUGGUGGGAAUCUGUGAAGCAUACCCAGCCAGCCGCACUCAAUAUAUCUUGGGAAAUAUUUUAGAAACUGUUUAAUGACAAGUACUUUCCUGAAAGUAUUCGUCAUAUGAAGGAGGUAGAGUUUAUUAGACUGGAACAGAACAACAUGACUGUGUCCCAGUACGAGGCUAAUUUUGCGGAGUUAUCCAGGAUUGCACCUCAUUUGGUAGAGAAUGAGGAACGUAUGACGCGGAUGUUUUUAAGAGGGUUGAAACCCAAAAUUUAUCAGUACCUUAUUUCUCACAAAUUUUCUCUAUAUUCAGAUGUUGUUAACAAGGCUCAAUUAUUAGAGUGAGAUAAUGAGUAUGUUCAACCGAGGGCAGCAGUCAUCAGAGCAAUGAUAACCAGCGGGAAGGAAAAAAUACGGACAAAAGCGAUAACCACUCUGGUGGUAAUCAUGGCCAUGAUAGUAGAAGAAGCGAGUCGAGGGGAGAUUUCAAAAAGAGAAGGUACAACAAUGACAAUGUGAAGACGUCAGCAUCAACAUCAACUGUUUCUAGGGGAGGAGAACGACCACCGGUCGUAUGUUAUAAAUGCUGGAAAGAGGGACACAUCAGCCCAAACUGCCCACAACAAUUCAAGGUAUGUUAUAACUGUGGAAAGGAAGGUCAUAUAGCUCGAGAUUGUUCUAUAGAAAAACCAAGUCCAGCGAGGAUGGUGAUUCCAAAGGCUGUCCCGGACAAGUAAAAGUCAACGGUUCCUGAAAGAACGUUUGUCGUGACUGGCCAAAACGCGAGGAGCCCAAACGAGGUGAUCACGGGUAAGCUAAUUAUAAACUCUUGCGAAGUUAAUACCUUAUUAGAUACCAUUUCUACCCAUUCUUUUAUCUCUCUUUCUUGUGCUCAACGUUUGAACUUAACUCCGGAGAAAUUAGACUUUGACUUAUCUAUUGAGACUCCGUUAGGAGAAACUUUCAUUACACUCACUGUUUAUAAAUCUUUCUUGAUCCAAGUUAGCAUAAUCACAUUACCUGUUGAUCUUAUCUCUUUAAAGAUACUUGCAUUUGAUGUGAUUUUAGGAUUGAUUGGUUAAGAUCUCAUCAUGCUAAAAUUGAUUAUUUUCGUAAGGUUGUUAGUUUUCAUAUUCCUAACCAACCUGUUAUGCCAAUUCAAGCGACCAAACUGCUAAAUUUAAUCACUGUCAUAUCAAGCCAUAAAUCCAUUCGUUUAUUAAAAAAUGGAUGUCAAGCUUUCUUAGCCCAUGUCAUGGACUUGAACAAAAACACGUCAGAUUUGAAUAAUAUUUCUGUUGUUAGUGAAUUUCUUGACGUAUUUCCUGAAGAACUUCCUGGUCUACCCCCAGAACGUGAAGUUGAAUUCUUUAUUGACCUUGAACCUGGUACAAAACCCAUUUCUAAAACCCCAUAUAGAAUGGCUCCUAUUGAAUUUCAGGAGUUAAAGGUCUAACUACAGGAGUUGUUAGACAUCGGUUUCAUUCGUCCUAAUACAUCUCCUUGGGGUGCUUCUGUUUUAUUCAUAAAGAAGAAAGACGAGAGUAUGCGACUUUGUAUUGAUUACCGGGAAUUGAACCAUGUCACCAUCAAUAAUAGGUAUCCGCUAUCUCGCAUUGAUGACCUAUUCGACCAGUUGCAAGGAGCACAAUUCUUUUCAAAGAUCGAUCUUCGUUCUGGAUAUCAUCAGCUGAAGAUUAAAACUGAGGAUAUUCCGAAGACUGCCUUCAGAACUCGGUACGGGCAUUAUAAAUUCUUAGUCAUGUCUUUUGGAUUAACUAAUGCUUCUGCUGCUUUCAUGGAUAUGAUGAACCGUGUGUUCAAGGAAUAUUUGGAUUAGUUCGUUGUUAUCUUUAUUGAUGAUAUCCUCAUCUAUUCCAAAAGCCGUAAAGAUCAUGAGCACCAUUUGAAGCUGGUACUUCAAAGGUUUUGUGAAAAUAAGCUAUAUGCCAAGCUGAAGAAAUGCAACUUUUGGUUUGAGGAAGUAGCAUUCCUUGGGCAUGUGGUGUCAAAACAUGGAGUAUCUGUUGACCCGACGAAGAUUGAAGCAAUACAAAGUUGGGAACAACCGAAGUCGGUGACCGAAGUACGUAGCUUUCUGGGCUUAGCCGGUUAUUAUCUUAGAUUUAUGGAAGGAUUUUCUCGAAUUGCUACUCCGUUAACUCAGCUGACUCAGAAAGAUACAAAAUUCGUAUGGAGUGAGGAAUGCGAGAAGAGUUUCCAAGAGCUCAAGAGGAGACUCAUUUCGGCACUUGUUCUAUAAAUACCAUCUAGUUCGGAUGGAUUUGUUAUCUACAGUGAUGCUUCAGGCAAAGGGUUAGGAUGUAUUCUCAUGCAACAUGGGAAAGUUACAGCCUAUGCCUCGCAACAACUCAAAGAAUAUGAGAGGAAUUAUCCUACUCAUGAUCUGGAGUUGGCAGCAAUCGUUUUCUAGUUGAAAAUUUGGAGACACUACUUGUAUGGGGAGAAAGUGGAGAUUUAUACGGAUCAUAAAAACCUCAAAUAUUUUUUCACCCAAAAGGAACUCAACAUGCGACAACGACGUUGGCUCGAGCUAUUGAAAGAUUAUGACCAUACCAUUCAAUAUCAUCCUGGAAAAGUAAACGUGGUAGCUGACGUAUUGAGUAAAAGAUCGUUUACGGGUACGAGUGCGAUGUUUUUAACACAAAGACCCAUUUUGUAAGACUUACAAAGGAUGGGGAUAGAGUUAAAGGCUCCAAGUGCCCAUAUGAUGAUAUCAAACAUAUGAGUAGAACUGACUUUAAUCGAUAAAGUUAAAGCUGCUUAAGCCACAGACCCAGAGUUGAUGCUUAUGAAGAAGAAAGUACAAGAAGGUGUUAUUCUAGAAGCAAUAAUCGAUGAAGAAAGAAUACUUUGAGUCAACUCCAGACUUUUCAUUCUUAACGAUUCUGACUUAAAGCAUAGAAUCAUGAUGGAGGCACACAACACACCAUUUUCAAUCCAUCGUGGGAGUACCAAAAUGUAUCAUGAUCUUCGAUAUACAUUUUGGUGGAACAAUAUGAAGAGAGAUAUCGCGGAGUUUAUCUCGAGGUGUUUAACUUGUCAACAUGUAAAGGCGGAGCAUCAAGUGUCAAAGGGUCCAUUGCAACCACUUGAGAUUCUGAAAUAGAAGUGGGAACACAUUACCAUGGAUUUCGUAAUGGAUCUUCCCAAGGUUUCUCAAGGCAUAAAUGUGAUUUGGGUUAUUGUUGAUAGAUUAACCAAGUCUGCUCAUUUCUUGCCGAUACGGGAGACUUAUUCCCUUGAACGUCUUGCUCGUAUGUACGAGAAUGAGAUUGUGAGAUUGCAUGGCAUGACAGUAUCCAUAGUUUCGGAUCGUGACCCAAGAUUCACUUCAAGAUUUUGGGUUAGCUUGUAGAAAGCUAUGGGCACGGAUUUACGAUUCAGUUUGGCAUACCAUCCUCAAACGGACGGGCAAUCGGAAAGGACUAUUCAAACUCUUGAAGAUCUAUUAAGACUCUGUGUCCUAGAUUUAAAAGGAAGUUGGGAUAAAUACUUGUCAUUAGUGGAAUUCUCCUACAACAACAGUUAUCAAACAAGUAUAGACAUGGCUCCAUUUGAGGUGUUGUACGGACGAAAGUGUCGUUCUCCAGUAUGCUAGGACGAGGUGGGUGAAGCAAGGUUGUUGGGACCAGAAUUGGUACGCAUGACUACAGAAAAGAUCCAAACGAUUCGACAACGUAUACAAAUGACACAGGAUCGACAAAAGAGUUAUGCGGAUCUUCAUCGAAAGGACGUUGAAUUUAAUAUUAGGGAUCAUGUAUUGUUAUGUAUUGCUCCAUGGAAGGAAGUUACAAGAUUUGGGAAGAGAAGAAAGCUCAAUCCAUGAUUUGUUGGUCCAUUUGAGAUUCUUGACCGAAUAAGAAAUGUGGCCUAUAGACUCGUAUUACCUCCAAGCAUGUCUCGUGUUUAUAAUGUUUUUCACAUAUCUAUGCUUCAUAAAUAUGUGAAAGACCCAAACCACAUUAUUGAGUUAGAACCAGACGAGAUAGCCGAAGAUUUAACGUACGAGGAGGUACCUGUCAAGAUCUUAGAUAGGAAAGAGCAUGUCUUACGCACAAAGAUUAUACCAAAAGUCAAAGUUUUAUGGAGGAACCAUGCUAUUGAGGAAAUGACUUGGGAGUUGGAAUCAGAAAUGAAAGUGAGGUAACCUCACCUUUUCGAAACACCAGGUACAUACGUCAAUUUCGAGGACAAAAUUUUAUAAUGAGGGGAGGUUGUAAGACCCCAACUUUUAUAAAUAAAAUUGAAUUUUCUCUUUUCAUUAUUUUGAAAUAAUAAGGUGUUAAUUUGAUAUAAUUCUUUGGUUAUGAGUAAAAUGUGCAAAUUUUGUAAAAUAAGCAAGUGGUUAUAAAAUAUUCAUUGUUGUCGGGGAAUAUUCGUUUGGUUGUAGAAUAUUCUUGUUGUCGGGGAAUAUUCGUACGACGAUGAAUCCAUUUGUGGGCCCCAUAAUGGAAAACAGUCGGAUGAAGAAAACAACAAAUUUGAGUUUUUAUAAAUAAUGGCGUAGUUGUUACCAUUAACACUGUUGGAAUACCUGAUGGUUAAAGUACAGUAAUACGCGUGGUUGCACAGUAGCACACGGUAUUGCACAGUAUUUUUGGAUUAUUGAUUCUUACAUAAGAAGGCACUACUCAAUAAUUUUUACAGUAAUUACUGUUCAAUAUUUUAUUUUAUUGAUUCAUUAAUUAUUAAGUUGAUAUUUUAUAUUAUUGUUAAUUCAAUAAUUGUCACUGCAUAGUAUUUCCCAUUAUCAUAUCAAUAAUUUAUAUUAUUUGAAUAAUAUUAUUAGAUUUUAUUAUUGGCAAUGUCUAAGAAGUUCUAUCUAGGAAAGGGGUUUGGUCACCUAAUUGCGCGCCAGUAAGGAGAAAUCCUUAUCGGAAAGCCCCCUUCUUUCCUGGGAACGACCUGAUUGUCAUAAUUGUGAUUCUGUAAUAUUAUUUGUGAAUAAUUAAUUAUUGAUUUAUAUGAUAAGAAAAUAUUUAUUUUAUGUGGAUAUAAAUGAAGGAAUUAAUGCUGAGGUGUUUUAUCAGUAUUUUGUCAGAAUGAAGGUAUUAAAAAUCGUCCGUAUGUAAAUUUUGGUCAUUUUCUGCUUGGAAUUUGGAAAAAUUUUAUCCUACAAAGUUGUAGAGAAUUACAUUUCCUAUGGAAUGGACAUAAAAUUCGUAUUUUUCUAUGAAAAGGGCAAUUUAUUAUGAAUUAUUGAAGUUUUGGAAAUAAAUGUUUUUUAAUUAAAAAUAUGGGUGGGCCCUACUUUUGGUUGGUAUGAAAAUUCUGAAUUUGGUGGGCCCCACUGUGGUGUGCUGAUAUUUGAUCAAUUGUGGCGUGCGUGAAAAUUUUUGAUAAAAUAUUAUUUUAUUAAUUUAGUCUGCUUUGGCAUUCUAGCAUUUUCCUAUAACUAGGAUUCUUAGUUAGAAUUGAAAAUCACACCAGAAUCAGAAGUUUUCUUUCUCUAUAAUAUCGAGAGUAUUUUUGUGAGUAUUUAGAUACUUUGAGAGUUGCUAUUCAGUGCAAGUUCCUUCAGCAUUAUAUCUGAUAUUUCAGCUAGAAGUGCUAUUCUUUUGAGGUAAGGGAUAUUAUUUUCUUCGUAAAUGAUGUUAUUUCUUUCAAUAUCAUUAUACUGAAAUAUUAGUAUGAAUUUUAUUAUGAAAUUUUUACCUUUUCAUGUUGAGGUUACUAUUCACGAAUACGACACUAUUCACGUAUACGACAUUAUUUACAAAUACGAUACUAUUCACCAAAAAAUGAAAUUUUUUCUUCUUUGUCCCAGAUGGCUAUUAUGGUUACUAUCUUUGAUUGUAUCCAUGUUUUGAUCUUUAUUAUUGAAUUUUUCUCCACUAUGGUUUAUUAUGGAGUAUUUUUGAAUUUGGAUUAUCUAAAGUACGAAUCCCUAAUCUUUGUCCGUUAUUCUCAAUGGAUUCGUUCUUUAAAAUAUUUUUCAUCAUCCUCAGUCUUUAAUGGUGAUACUUGAUGAAUAUCUUUGGCCUGUAGUACAAAGAUGAAUGAUUACCUAAUGAAUAUAUUUGACCCAUAGUGCAAAGAUGGACAGGUGUUGAGAUGAACAUGACCAACUGUUGAUACAAAUGAAUAUCUUUGGCCCGUAAAACAAAGAUGAAUAUUUGGUUCAAGAUGUAUAUUGAUUGAUGUUACAGGGAUAAAAUAUUGAUGAUAAACUUUUAAAUCAUAGAAGACAUUAGAUUUUAUUCUCUACUAAACUCUUCUAAUGAAUUGUUAUUUCCGCUGCGAAUAUUGAUCUAAAACUUAUUGUCCAUUAUAUUUUAUCUGAUUUAUUGAAGGCUAACAAUAAUUUAUUGUUCAUUAUCUUAGUCAUAAUAUUCUUUACCGGGCUAGUUGAGCUCACUAUUUUCCUUUUUGUUUCAUUUUUCUUCUCAGGAGGCGAGAAUAUAGCGGGAACUAGUCGGGGUAUAGAAUGAUGGUUCUAGACAGUUGUUUUAGCAUUCCUCACUAUUUUUGUAAAAUAGUGAAUCAAUAAUUAUAAUGAGGACUUAUUUGAGUGUGGAUAUUAUCUAGAAGACAAUAUUUUUAUUUAAACUCACAGUAUAUAUGUUAUCGUAUUUUGCACGACAAUUGUAAUAAUAAAGUUGUAGUUAUUUUCUAUACCAUAUUUUUGACGAUCCAAGAUGGGUGAUGUAUACCUAUUUUGGGGGCGUCACAGUAGGAAUACAAACCAAAUAAUAUUACUUACAUACUACAGAGUAUGGAAAAAAUAUUAUUUCAUACGAGUAUUGAACAAAAAUAUUAUCCCUUACCUUAGAAGAAGACUGUAUACUAGAAUAAUGAAGUAGCAGAAUACUCUUCUUCUUUCUCUCUAUAGUUUCUCUCUUUAUAAUUUCUCUUGUGAGUCUUAAUGAAUUGGUGAGAAUGAAAGAAGAAUGAGCUUCUAUUUAUAGGAAAACAUAGUUUCGAUAAUUGCACGUUUUGGGGCUCGAAUUAUUAUAGUAUAUUAUUACCUUCAUCUUUUCCUCCAUUUUAAAUUUAGUCCUACAAGUAUUAUCAAACUUGCACCACCUCCCCUAAUAGUACAUGAAUGUGAAUCAAUACUUCCAUUCAUGUGAAUAAAUAGUUAUAUGCAUGUAAACUAAUAGCAAUUAAUUGCUCAUUUAUCCGAUUAAUUACCCGAUUGGUCAAUUUAACCUCCAGAAAUCAAUUAUUAUCGAAAUAAAUGUUGAUUUCCACUAACACUAAUAAUCCCAACACAAUGGAAAUAUCAAUUUUAUCUUUAAUCAACGCAAACUUAUUCAUCUUUAAUAUUAUAACUCAUAGUAUCUAACAACCAGAUCAUUCCCAGGAAAGAGGGGGCUUUCCGAUAAAGAUUUCUCCCUAUUGGCGCACAAUUAGGUGACAAAACCCUUUUCCUCGACAGAACUUUCUAGACAUCGUCAAUAAUGCAAAUAAUAAUAUGAAUAACUUUUAUAUCUCAAUUAUUGAUUUAAUAAUAUAAAAUAUUAUGCAGAUGAUACUGUGACAAUAAUUGAAUCAAUAAUAUGAGAGAUAUUAUGCAGUAAUUAUUGUAGCAAUAAUUGAGUAUAACUGAGUGACUUCUCACGUAAGCAUUAAUAAUCAAAGAUAUUGUACAAUACCGUAUGCUACUAUGCAACCACGCGUAUUACUGUAAUUUUACCACCAGGUAUUUCAACAGUUAACGGUAAAAUUUUCGUCGUUAAUUUUAUAAAAAUAUAUUUCUGUCAUUUUCUAACUCCGACAAUACAUCCAUUAUAAGACCACAACUUUUAUAAAUAAAAUUGAAUUUCCUCUAUUCAUUAUUUUAAAAAAAUAAGAUGUUAAUUUGAUAUAAUGCUUUGGUUAUGGGUGAAAUGUGCAAAAAUUUCAAAAUAAGCAAGUGGUUAUAAAAUAUUCAUUGUUGUCGGGGAAUAUUCGUUUGGUCAUGGAAUAUUCUUGUUGUCGGGGAAUAUUCGUUUGGUCAUGGAAUAUUCUUGUUGUCGGGGAAUAUUCGUACAACGGCGCAGCCAUUUGUGGGCCCCAUAACACAAAAACGGUCGGAUGAAGAAAAUGACAAGUUUGAGUUUUUAUAAAUUACGGGGUAGUUGUUACCGUUAACACUGUUGGAAUACCUGAUGGUUAAAGUACAGUAAUACGCGUGGUUGCACAGUAGCACAUGGUAUUGCACAGUAUUUUUGGAUUAUUGAUUCUUACGUAAGAAGGCACUACUCAAUAAUUGUUACAUUAAUCAUUGUUCAAUAUUUUAUUUUAUUGAUUCAAUAAUUGCUGCGUUGAUAUUUUAUAUUAUUGUUGUUUCAAUAAUUACCACUGCACAAUAUUUCCCAUUAUCAGAUCAAUAAUUCAUAUUAUUUGAAUAAUAUUAUUAGAUAACCUUAUUGGCAAUGUCUAAGGAAGUUCUGUCUAGAAAAGGGAUUUGGUCACCUAAUUGCGCGCCAGUAAGGAGAAAUCCUUAUCGGAAACCCCCUCUUUUCUGGAAACGACCUGGUUGUCAUUAUUGUGAUUCUGUAAUAUUAUUUGUGAAUAAUUAAUUAUUGAUUUAUAUGAUAAGGAAAUAUUUAUUUUAUGUGGUUAUAAAUGAAGGAAUUAAUGUUGAGGUAUUUUAUCAGUAUUUUGUCAGAAUGGAGGUAUUAACAAUCAUCUGUAUGUGGAUUUCAGUCAUUUUCUGUUUAGAAUUUGAAAAAACUUUCUUCUACAAAGUUGUAGAGAAUUAAAUUUCUUAUGGAAUGGACAUAAAAUUUAUAUUUUUCUGAUAAAGGGCUAUUUAUUAUGAAUUAAGUGGAAUGAAGAUAUCAAAUUGAUUUAGUUUUCGAAUUAAAUUUGAAUUCUUUUAUUUUUUUUUUCAAAAAACAUAUGUUAAUGGUGGGUGAGCAAAGGUUGGCUUUAAAAAGUCUUGUUUCAAAGUAGGUGGGCUACAAAUAAUGUGCGUAUGUAAAUUUUAUCAGUAAUGGUGGGCUGACAUUUCCCUAUAAAUAGGGUGCUUAGUUAGAAAUGAAAUCACACCAUAAUCAGAAGUUUUAUCUCUAUAAUAUCAAACGUAUUUUUGUGAUUAUUUAGAUAAUUUGAGAGUUGCUAUUCAGUGCAAGUUUUUUUCAACAUUAUAUCUGAUAUUCCAAUCAGAAGUACUGUUCUUUUGAGGUAAGGGAUUUUUUUUUUUUUUCAUAAAUGAUAUUAUUUCUUUCAAUAUCAUUAUACCAAAAUAUUGGUAUGAAUUCUUGUGGAAAUUUUACCUUUUCAUGUCUAGGCUACUAUUCACGUAUACGACACUAUUUACGUAUACGACACUAUUCACGAAUACGGUACUAUUCACAAGUACUAUUCACGAAGUAUGAUUUUUCUUGUGAAAUUUCUACCUUUUGGUGUCAGGGUUACUAUUCACGUACAACACUAUUCACGUAUACGACACUAUUCACGAAUAUGGCACUAUUUACUGAAAAAAUUAAAAUUUUUUUCUUUGUCCAAGUUGUCUAUUAUGGUUACUAUCUUUGAUUGUAUCCAUGUUUUGAUCUUCAUUCUUGAAUUUUGCUCCACAAUUAAUUAUUAUGGAGUAUUUUUGAACUUGGAUAAAGUAAAGUACGAAUCCCUAAUAUUUGAUCUUUUAUCUCACUGGAUUCGUUUUCUUUAAGAUAUUUUUCAUCAUCCUCAGUCCUAAAUGGUGAUAUAACUGAAUAUCUUUGGCCUGUAGUGCAUAGAUGAAUGAUUACCUGAUGAAUAUUUUUGGCGCGUAUUGCAAAGAUGGACAGGUGUUGAGAUGAACAUGACCAACUGAUGAAUAUCUUUGGCCUGUAGUGCAAAGAUGAAUAUUUGAUUCAAGAUGUAUAUUGUGACGCCCCCAAAAUAGGUAUACAUCACCUAUCUUGAGUCGCCAGAUACAUGGUACAUAAAUCAAAUACAAACUUAAUUAUACAACAGUCGUGUAAAAUACGACAAAACAUAGCUGAGAGUUUAAACAAGAAUAUUGUCAUCUAGAUAAUAUCCAUACUCAAUGGUGUCCUCAUUGCAAUUAUUAUCACAUUAUUCUGUAGAAUAGUGAAGACUACUAAAGCCAUUUAUCCUGGACCAUCACUCCAUUCCCCGACUCGUCCCAGCUAUAUUCUCAUUUCCUGAAGAGAACAAUGAAAGAAAGGGUGAGCUCAACUAGCCCAGUAAGAAAUAUUAUGACUAAGAUAAUGCAGAAUAAAUUAUCCUUAGCCUUCAACAGUAUAACAACUGAUAGAAUACAAUAGACAACAAGUUUUAGAUCAACAACUGCAGCGGAAAUAAGCAAUCCAUUAGAAGAGUCAAGUAGAGCAUAAAAUCUACUAUCUUCUAUGAUUUAAAAAGUUUUUCAUCAACUUUAUCGCUGAGACUCAGCUUAAUAAAUAAAAUCGAAUCAUCCCUGCACCACGGCCAAGGAUAUUCAUGUAAUCAUCAAUGGUCAUGAUUAUACCGAAUAAUCCCUGGUCAUAAUCAUACCAACAACUGUCCAUCAAUGAACUACAGGCCAAUGAGGACUUUUACCACAUCAUUCGUCACAUUACGGUCAUGAUUAUACCGAAUAAUCCCUGGUCAUAAUCAUACCAAGUCCAUCUAUGCACGUAAGCCAAAGAUGACUUUCAUCACAAUAUAAGCAUGAGGAUGAUGACAAUGACAUAAUAAUUCAAUAAAACAAGUUCAAGGAUAAAUUUUAAAGAUUUAUAAUUUAAUUUAUCCAGAAAUCAAUAACGCCCAAAUUGUCAACAUGAUACUGCUUUGUAGAGUAAAAUUCAAGAAUAAUAUUCAUGUACAAAAAAUAAUUUGGACAGAAAAGAAAUAUAUUUUUCGGGUGAAUAGUAUCCCGUGAAUAAUACUUUGGGAAUAGUACCUCAUGAAUAGUACCUCGACACGAAAAGUGUCCCGAAUACCCGAGUGAAUGAUACUAGAGUGAAUAGUAAUUGGGUUAAUAGUAACCCGCGUGAAUAGUAACUCGUGAAUAGUACUCCGGCACGAAAAGUACCUCGAAUAUCCGAGUGAAUAAUACCAGAGUUAAUAAUAACUGGGUGAAUAGUAACCCGUGAAUAGUAACUCAUAAAAAAAAUACCAAAGAAAAUGAUAUUCCAUGACGAGUACAAAAGAAAUGAUAUCUCAGACGAGUAUAAUAGAAUAUACGAAACUGCAAAUGGAUUUUCACCCGCCAUGCGGUAAUCCACGUAGACAGAUCAUUUCCACAAUUUAAUAAAGAAUGAAUACAAAGGAUCAUUCACUAUGCAUGCGGUAAUCCACAUAGAUAGAUUAUUCCAACAGAAUAAUAAAGAAUGGAAUAACAAAAGAAUUCACCAGGCAUGCGAUAGACCACACAGAUAGGUUAUUCCCAACAGAAUAAUAAAGAAUGGAACCAGGUCAUGCGUAAUCCGCACAGACAGGAUAUUCCAACAGAAUAAUAAAAAAUAGAAUAACAAUAGAAUUCACCAGGCAUGCGAUAGACCGCACAGACAGGUUAUUCCAACAGAAUAAUAAAGAAUAGAAUAACAGAAGAAUUACACCAUGUAUGUGGUACUUCGUAUAGACAGAUUAUUCCAACAACAUAAUAAAGAAUGGAAUAACAACCCUUAUGAGUAUUGGAAGAAAAUAACUCUCUUCAUGAAUACGAAAGAAUAAUACCCCUUACCUCAAAAGAAGACUGGAUACUGGAAUAGUGAGGUAGCAGACUUCUCUUCUUCUUUCUCUCUAUAAUUUCUCUCUAUAAUAAUUGCUCUAUAACUUUAGUGAAUUUGUUAGAAAUAAUGAAGGAAUGAGCUUCUAUUUAUAGGAAAAUAUAGUUUCGAUAAUUGCAUAUUUUGGGGCUCGAAAUAUUACAGUAUAAUACCUUCCUCUUUUUCUUCAUUUUUAAUUUAGUCCUGCAAGUAUUAUCAAACAUGCACCACCUCUCCUAAUAGUAAAUCAUGUGAAUCAAUAGUAAAGGAUGUGACUCAAUAGUUCUAUACAUGUGAAAAAAUGAAUUACAGUAUAAUACCUCCAUCUAUACCUCCAUUUUUAACUUAGUCAUGCAAGUAUUAUCAAUCUUGCAUCAACUCCCCUAAUAGUAAAUGGAUUUGAAUAAAUAGUACACACAUGUGAAUAAAUAGUUAUAAUCAUGUUAAUCAAUAGCAAUUAAUUGCUCAUUUAUCUGGUUAAUUACCCGAUUGGUCAAUAUAACCUCCAGACAUCAAUUAUUAUCGAAAUAAAUGUCGAUUUUCACUAACACUAAUAAUUCCAACACAAUGGAACUAUCAAUUUUAUCUUUAAUCAACACGAACUUAUUCAUCAUUAAUAUUAUAAUUCACAAUAUUUAACAACCAGGUCGUUCUUAGGAAAGAGGGGACUUUCCAAUAAGGAUUUCUCCUUAUUGGCGCGCAAUUAGGUGACCAAACCUCUCCUUGACAGAACUUCUAGACAUUGUCAAUAUUGUAAAUAAUAAUAUGAAUAACUUUGUCAUCUCAAUUAUUAAUUUAAUAAUAUAACAUAUUAUACAAAUGAUACAGUGACAAUAAUUGAAUCAUUAAUAUGAGAGAUAUUAUGCAACAAUUACUGUAGCAAUAAUUGAGUAUAACUGAGUGACUUUUCACGUAAGCAUCAAUAAUCCAUACCGUGUGCUACUAUGCAACCACGCGUAUUACUGUACUUUUACUAUCGGGUAGUUCAACAGUUUGACGGUAAAACUUUCAUCGUUAUUUUUAUAAAAAGAUAAUUCUGUCAUUUUCUAACUACGACAAUACUUCCGUUGUGGGGUCCACCAAUGAUUGUGCCGUCGUACGGAUAUUCCCCGACAAAAAGAAUAUUCCCCAACCAAUCGAAUAUUAUAUAACAACUUGCAUACUUUGAAAAAUUUAUAAAUAUUACCAACAACUCUAACAUUAUAUCAAAUCCACACCAUAAUAUUCAAAAAAAUAUUUUGAGAAAUUUAAAUCUUUAUUCAUAAAAUUUGGGGUCUCAUAAUCUCCCCUCCUUAUGAAAUUUCGCCCUCAAAAAUUACGUACGUACCUGGUAUGCCGAUGAGGUGAGGAUACCUUGACUUCAUUUCAUAUUCCAACUCUUGAGGUAUAACCUUUGAGUGUUGAAUAUGAUCCUUCUUAUCCAAGAUUUUAACAAGUAUCUCAUUAUACGUUAAAUCCUCUGCUAUAUCGUCUAGUUUUAAUUUAAUAAUGUUGUUCGGGUCGUCCACAUAUUUACGUAACAUUGAUACGUGAAAAACGUUAUGAACACGCAACAUACUUGACGGUAAAACGAGUCUAUAGGCCACAGUUCCUACUCGAUCGAGGAUUUCAAAUGAGCCAAUAAAAUUGAGGGUUGAUAUUUCCUCUUUUCAUUGACUCUUGCGUCUAGAAUAACGCCUUCUUGAACCUUCUUCUUUAUUUUCAUCAGCUCCAGGUGUGUAGUUUGAGCGGCUUUAACUUUAUCGAUUAAAGUCGAUUCUACUCGUAUAUUCGUUAUCUUCACGUGGGUCCCUAGAGUCUUUAACUCUAUCUUCAUCAUUUGUAAGUUAUACGAAAUGGGUUUUUGUGUUAACAACAUCGCACUCGUAAACGCAUACGAUCUUCUACUCAACGCGUCAGCUACCACGUUCGCUCUUCCACGAUGAUAUUGAAUGGUAUAGUCGUAAUCUUCAACAGCUCGAGCCAACGUCCUUGGCGCAUGAUACGUUUAUUUUAGUUGAAGAAAUAUUUGAGGGUUUUAGAAAUGGGUUUUGUAUUGGGGUCAAUACAAAAUUCGAUUUCACGCUUUGGGGGUAGACCAAGAAGUCUUCAAGAAUACGUCAGGAAAUUUAUUACCUAUAGAAAUAUCAUUCAAAACUGUGACUCUCAUCCAAGACUUGGAUAGCACAUGAAAUGAAAGUUUCUACUAACGAAGUUUCAACCGAUAAGUCAAAGUCUAAUCUCUCAGGAGUUAAAUUUAAACGUUGAGCGCAAGAAAGAGAGAUAAAAUAAUGGGUGGAACCGAUAUCUAAUAAGGUAUAGACUUUGCAAGAAUUUAUAAUUAAAUAACCCAUGCUAACUUCGUUCGGGUUACUCGCUUUUUGAGAAGUCACGAAAAACACUCUUCUUAAAACUACUGACUUUGUUUUGUCCGUAUCCGCCUUUGGUGCCACCGUCCCCAGCUGAACUUGACUUUGGUGCAUGACAAAAUCGGGAUAGGUGACCUUCUUUUCCACAAUUAUAACAUGCUUUGGACUGCAUCACGCAGUUUAGACUGAUAUGUCCCUCCCGUCCGCAUUUAAACCAUACAAUUGGUGGUCGUUCUCCUUCCUUGAAAACCGGUGUUGGUGCUGCUGUCUUUCCAUCAUUGUUGAACCUUCUCUUCUUGAAAUUUCCACUCCUAUUAUCUUGGCCAUGGUUACCACCGAAGUGGUUACCAUUCUUGGCAUGAUAAUUUCCCCCACGAUGGUUAUCAUUGUUCCGAUGGCCGUUGCCACCGGUACGAUUAUUAUCGUGUUAUUGGUCGUUGCCUUUUGGUUGUGCUGACUCAUUAUCGCGCUCCAAUAACUAAACCCUAUUCACAACAUCUGAAUAUAAACAAAUUUUGUGAAAAAUGAGGUAUUGACGUAUAUCGGGUUUCAAACCUCUUAGAAACAUCCGCGUCAUUCUCUCCUCAUUCUCAACCAAGUGGGACGUAAACCAAGAAAACUCGGCAAACUUAGCUUCGUACUGCGCCAUGGUCAUGUUGUUUUUCUCAAGCUUGAUGAACUCUACCUCCUUCAUGUGACGAAUACUUUCAGGAAAGUACUUGUCGUUGAAUAUCUCUUGGAACUUCUCCCAAGACAUCUUGAGUGUGGCAGGUUGAGUACGCUUUACAGAUUCCCACCAAUAAUCUGCCUCUUCACGCAAUAUAAAGGUGGCAAAUGGAACCUUUUGCUCCUCGGAGCAUCCCAAGACAUCAAAUAUCUUGGUGAUCUUCAUUAUCCACGUCUCCGCCUUAAGUGAUUCUGGCUUUCCCAAAAACUCCGGCAGUCCCAGCUCCUUGAACUGCUUAGCAGUGACCAGCCGUGGGUUGCCAUUGUUUCCACCCGCAUUUUGAACAAGAGUCUCUCUCGCCUGAUGUUGCAUGAAUUACAUAAAGCCUCUGAACAUCUCAUCGUUCAUCAUCUGAUCGGUGUUGUUAUUUACCUGAGGAUUAUUGUCUUCUUGUUGCACAUUAUCCUGGGUAUUGAUCGUUGGUGACUCAACGGUCUCAUGUGCUUCAUUGCUUAUCUCAAUAUUUUCAGAUGCCAUUCUCAAACACUAUCAAAAAACAAGGGUUAAUUAACAUGUCACAUAUUAUCCCUAUACUCUGACCGACCAAUUAAAUACCAAAUAAACCUAGGUAGGCCAUACUAGCGAAGGAAUUCCCCGUCUCUCCCCUCCUAGUUCUUAUCUCACAUCUCAGCCAGGGAUCAUAUCCCUAAGCUUUGAUACCAACUGUGACGCCCCCAAAAUAGGUAUACAUCACCCAUCUUGAGUCGCCAGAUACAUGGUACAUAAAUCAAAUACAAACUUAAUUAUACAACAGUCGUGUAAAAUACGACAAAACAUAGCUAUGAGUUUAAACAAGAAUAUUGUCAUCUAGACAAUAUCCAUACUCAAUGGUGUCCUCAUUAUAAUUAUUAUCACAUUAUUUCAUAGAAUAGUGAGGACUACUAAAGCCAUUUAUCCUGGACCAUCACUACAUUCCCUGACUCGUCCCAGCUAUAUUCUAAUUUCCUGAAGAGAACAAUGAAAGAAAGGGUGAGCUCAACUAGCCCAGUAAGAAAUAUUAUGACUAAAAUAAUGCAGAAUAAAUUAUCCUUAGCCUUCGACAGUAUAACAACUGAUAGAAUACAAUAGACAACAAGUUUUAGAUCAACAACUGCAGCGAAAAUAAGCAAUCCAUUAGAAGAGUCAAGUAGAGCAUAAAAUCUACUAUCUUCUAUGAUUUAAAAAGNNNNNNNNNNNNNNNNNNNNNNNNNNNNNNNNNNNNNNNNNNNNNNNNNNNNNNNNNNNNNNNNNNNNNNNNNNNNNNNNNNNNNNNNNNNNNNNNNNNNNNNNNNNNNNNNNNNNNNNNNNNNNNNNNNNNNNNNNNNNNNNNNNNNNNNNNNNNNNNNNNNNNNNNNNNNNNNNNNNNNNNNNNNNNNNNNNNNNNNNNNNNNNNNNNNNNNNNNNNNNNNNNNNNNNNNNNNNNNNNNNNNNNNNNNNNNNNNNNNNNNNNNNNNNNNNNNNNNNNNNNNNNNNNNNNNNNNNNNNNNNNNNNNNNNNNNNNNNNNNNNNNNNNNNNNNNNNNNNNNNNNNNNNNNNNNNNNNNNNNNNNNNNNNNNNNNNNNNNNNNNNNNNNNNNNNNNNNNNNNNNNNNNNNNNNNNNNNNNNNNNNNNNNNNNNNNNNNNNNNNNNNNNNNNNNNNNNNNNNNNNNNNNNNNNNNNNNNNNNNNNNNNNNNNNNNNNNNNNNNNNNNNNNNNNNNNNNNNNNNNNNNNNNNNNNNNNNNNNNNNNNNNNNNNNNNNNNNNNNNNNNNNNNNNNNNNNNNNNNNNNNNNNNNNNNNNNNNNNNNNNNNNNNNNNNNNNNNNNNNNNNNNNNNNNNNNNNNNNNNNNNNNNNNNNNNNNNNNNNNNNNNNNNNNNNNNNNNNNNNNNNNNNNNNNNNNNNNNNNNNNNNNNNNNNNNNNNNNNNNNNNNNNNNNNNNNNNNNNNNNNNNNNNNNNNNNNNNNNNNNNNNNNNNNNNNNNNNNNNNNNNNNNNNNNNNNNNNNNNNNNNNNNNNNNNNNNNNNNNNNNNNNNNNNNNNNNNNNNNNNNNNNNNNNNNNNNNNNNNNNNNNNNNNNNNNNNNNNNNNNNNNNNNNNNNNNNNNNNNNNNNNNNNNNNNNNNNNNNNNNNNNNNNNNNNNNNNNNNNNNNNNNNNNNNNNNNNNNNNNNNNNNNNNNNNNNNNNNNNNNNNNNNNNNNNNNNNNNNNNNNNNNNNNNNNNNNNNNNNNNNNNNNNNNNNNNNNNNNNNNNNNNNNNNNNNNNNNNNNNNNNNNNNNNNNNNNNNNNNNNNNNNNNNNNNNNNNNNNNNNNNNNNNNNNNNNNNNNNNNNNNNNNNNNNNNNNNNNNNNNNNNNNNNNNNNNNNNNNNNNNNNNNNNNNNNNNNNNNNNNNNNNNNNNNNNNNNNNNNNNNNNNNNNNNNNNNNNNNNNNNNNNNNNNNNNNNNNNNNNNNNNNNNNNNNNNNNNNNNNNNNNNNNNNNNNNNNNNNNNNNNNNNNNNNNNNNNNNNNNNNNNNNNNNNNNNNNNNNNNNNNNNNNNNNNNNNNNNNNNNNNNNNNNNNNNNNNNNNNNNNNNNNNNNNNNNNNNNNNNNNNNNNNNNNNNNNNNNNNNNNNNNNNNNNNNNNNNNNNNNNNNNNNNNNNNNNNNNNNNNNNNNNNNNNNNNNNNNNNNNNNNNNNNNNNNNNNNNNNNNNNNNNNNNNNNNNNNNNNNNNNNNNNNNNNNNNNNNNNNNNNNNNNNNNNNNNNNNNNNNNNNNNNNNNNNNNNNNNNNNNNNNNNNNNNNNNNNNNNNNNNNNNNNNNNNNNNNNNNNNNNNNNNNNNNNNNNNNNNNNNNNNNNNNNNNNNNNNNNNNNNNNNNNNNNNNNNNNNNNNNNNNNNNNNNNNNNNNNNNNNNNNNNNNNNNNNNNNNNNNNNNNNNNNNNNNNNNNNNNNNNNNNNNNNNNNNNNNNNNNNNNNNNNNNNNNNNNNNNNNNNNNNNNNNNNNNNNNNNNNNNNNNNNNNNNNNNNNNNNNNNNNNNNNNNNNNNNNNNNNNNNNNNNNNNNNNNNNNNNNNNNNNNNNNNNNNNNNNNNNNNNNNNNNNNNNNNNNNNNNNNNNNNNNNNNNNNNNNNNNNNNNNNNNNNNNNNNNNNNNNNNNNNNNNNNNNNNNNNNNNNNNNNNNNNNNNNNNNNNNNNNNNNNNNNNNNNNNNNNNNNNNNNNNNNNNNNNNNNNNNNNNNNNNNNNNNNNNNNNNNNNNNNNNNNNNNNNNNNNNNNNNNNNNNNNNNNNNNNNNNNNNNNNNNNNNNNNNNNNNNNNNNNNNNNNNNNNNNNNNNNNNNNNNNNNNNNNNNNNNNNNNNNNNNNNNNNNNNNNNNNNNNNNNNNNNNNNNNNNNNNNNNNNNNNNNNNNNNNNNNNNNNNNNNNNNNNNNNNNNNNNNNNNNNNNNNNNNNNNNNNNNNNNNNNNNNNNNNNNNNNNNNNNNNNNNNNNNNNNNNNNNNNNNNNNNNNNNNNNNNNNNNNNNNNNNNNNNNNNNNNNNNNNNNNNNNNNNNNNNNNNNNNNNNNNNNNNNNNNNNNNNNNNNNNNNNNNNNNNNNNNNNNNNNNNNNNNNNNNNNNNNNNNNNNNNNNNNNNNNNNNNNNNNNNNNNNNNNNNNNNNNNNNNNNNNNNNNNNNNNNNNNNNNNNNNNNNNNNNNNNNNNNNNNNNNNNNNNNNNNNNNNNNNNNNNNNNNNNNNNNNNNNNNNNNNNNNNNNNNNNNNNNNNNNNNNNNNNNNNNNNNNNNNNNNNNNNNNNNNNNNNNNNNNNNNNNNNNNNNNNNNNNNNNNNNNNNNNNNNNNNNNNNNNNNNNNNNNNNNNNNNNNNNNNNNNNNNNNNNNNNNNNNNNNNNNNNNNNNNNNNNNNNNNNNNNNNNNNNNNNNNNNNNNNNNNNNNNNNNNNNNNNNNNNNNCGCUGCGAAUAUUGAUCUAAAACUUGUUGUCCAUUAUAUUUUAUCUGAUUUAUUUAAGGCUAACGAUAAUUUGUUGUACAUUAUCUUAGUCAUAAUAUUCUUUACUGGGCUAGUUGAGCUCACCCUUUUCCUUUUUGUUCCAUUUUUCUUCUCAGGAGGCGAGAAUAUAGCGGGAACUAGCCAGGGUGUGGAGUGAUGUUUCGAGACAGUUGUUUUAGCAGUCCUCACUAUUUUGUAAAAUAGUGCAUCAAUAAUUGUAAUGAUUACUUAUUUUUGAGUUUGGAUAUAUUCUAGAAGACAAUAUUUGUAUUUAAACUCACAUCAUAUGUGUUGUCGUAUUUUGCAUGACAAUUGUAAUAAUGAAGUUGUAGUUAUUUUCUGUACCAUAUUUUUGGUGACCCAAGAUGGGUGAUGUAUACCUAUUUUGGGGGCGUCACAUCCGUGGUGGGGUCCACCAAUGAUUGUGCCGUCGUACGAAUAUUUCCUGUUAAAACGAAUAUUCCCCGACCAAUCGAAUAUUUUAUAACAACUUUCUUACUUUGCAAAAUUUAUAAAUAUUACCCAUAACUAUAACAUUAUAUCAAACACCAUAAUAUUCAAAAAUAUAUUUCGAGAAAAAUUAAUCUUUAUUCAUAAAAGUUGGGGUCUUACACAAUCUAUAUUAGACUUAAUUAAAGUCCAUAUAUCACACUUAAUUAGACCAAUUAAUUAGCCUAAUUUAUAUAAAUAUUAUUAAUAUUCUUACAAGUUUAUCUAUGUAUUCAUCUAAAUUUAUUUAUUAUUAAUUAAAUUUAUUAAUAAUGUUUAUUUAUAUCUCUUCUUCUUCGAUAAGGGAUCGACAAGCCAUUACUUCUAUAACUACUCAAAGUCAGGGCGGUAGUUAGCUACCAGCAAUAACUUUAUAGGGUAAAAUGCAAAAUUAACCACUGAAGUUUAGCAAUUUUUGGAUAUUGAGUCCCUUUCUUUUGGUCAACAGAAAUUGAGCUCCUUUCUAUUCAAAAAUUUGAAAUUUGAGCCAUCAGGCGCCACGUGAGCGUUGACCUGCUGACAUGAGAAUUUUUCAAUUUUAUCCCAAAAAUAUGUCGCUCCACUAAUUCGAACUCAAAACACCCAGUUUGGAACUUUGAUCAUAUGACCACUGAAGUACCACGAGCUUAACUGUUAAUAUUUCGCAAGGAUUAAUCUUUAUAACAAAACAAUUCAUUUCCCACAAAAAAAUUAAAAGACAAAACAGAUCCUUAAUAUUAGCUAAGUCUCAUUUUGUCCUUUAUAUUGACUGGAACUUAUUGACGGAUCAACCUAAAAAUAGAAUACUGCAAAUCAAGGAUUUAUUGACAUCCCAUAUACAUAACAAGCACAAACACAAGCUCUUUGACAACAGUAAAUUGAUUUGAACUAAAACAAAAAAUAAUACAUUAAUCCCAAAGCUUCUUUAAUUAACCAGUUCUUGAAUAGCUCCCACACUUUGUGAAUCGCAAUUCUCUGAAUCUCUCUCCCUCGACGAAGUCGCCCCCUGUUGAACAAAAGCACGGCCGUUGUAAUUUCGACUGAUGAUGGAUUCUUCCGAUAUAGGCCUUUUCAGACCUAGCCCUCUUGAUCUAUCAAAUGAUCUACGAGAGCUCUCCAUUUACAUAGUAAAAAUUCGAUCAACCAAAAAACAUAAAUCAAAGCCCUAAUUUAAUCCCUACUUUAUUACAUAGUAAAAAAUUGAAAAAGAAAAAACUAGAUUUAUGGUAAUUAAAACUAACAAGGAUUUCAUACGAGACUUACAAAUCAGAUACCCUAAUCAUUGCCCUAAUUAUGUAUACACAAAAUCAAGAUUGAUACAAAAGUUCGAUCUUUGAAGACAAAUAUUGUGAAUUGAGGAGAGAGAUGAGAUAUGAUUGACAGAACUCCGAUAUUAGUCUUCAAAUCGAGCUGUCAGUUACUUUUUGACUCUGGUUUCAAAUUAAUUAAGUCUCAUUUCGUAAUCUUUCUCAUUUCGUAAUCUAAAUGAGACUUAGUUAAGUAGAGGUUUAGAAAAAGAGAAAGAUAAAGAGGGAAAUGAAACUUAGCUACUCUGAAGGAUCUGUUUUGUCUUUUAAUUUUUUUGGGAGAAAUGAAUUGUUUCGUUAUAAAGAUUAAUCCUUAUGAAAUAAUAAAAGUUAGGCCUGUAGUGCUUGGGUGGUCAUAUGAUCAAAGUUUGAAAUUGGGUAUUUUGAGUUCGAAUCAGUGAAGCGCUCACGUGGCGCCUGGGGGCUCAAAUUCCAAAUUUUUGAAUAGAAAGUGGCUUAAUUUACAUUAACCAAAAGAAAUGGACUUAAUACCCAAAAAUUUCUAAAGUUCAGUGGUCAAUUUUAUAUUUUACCCUAACUUUAUCAUUAUAGCAAACUAUUUCAUGUUGCUCGGAGGAAAAAAAAAAUAUUAGAAGGAAAAAGGUUUGGCCUAUUAGUACUCGGUAAGUUCUAAACAAACCAAACACAAUUAAUAAUUUUAUUUAUUUACUAAUAAUAGUUUAUAUAACUUAUACGUUAUUAAGGGCUCAAAUUUUAUGGGAGUAGUUAACAUAAAAUUAAUUUUGAUUAAUUGACUAAUAUAGUAUCAACACACAAAUUGAAAAAUAAUCUCUCCUUACGUGUCAACAUUAUAUUAAUUAAUUUAUCAUAAAAAUUUUCAUAAUAAUCAGAUCCAAAUUUUAUAUAUCAAAAAUAGUAUGUCGCGUUGGACCUCUAAAUACUACUACUUUACCCACAUUAAAAGUUAAUAAUCGAAAAAAUCUCUCUCUAUUGUCGUUUUAUUUAUCAUUAUCCAAACACUACUGCUCUACGCACAUUAAACGGUGCUGAGAAGAAACGUUGUCAUUGUCCUUUUUCUGCAUGUGUGAUUGAAGGUAAUUUGGGUCUUAUCAUUAUGUUAGAACUUAUGUUAUUAGCUGCUCAUGUUUAACUUGAGUUUUUUUUUUUUGGUAUUUUGCAAGUCUUGUGGUACUGUCCAAAGAGUAUGGAUUUUUUCCACUUUUAUAAUCAUGUUUUGGGUAUUAAUGAAUUUCAUUUUAUUGAUAAAAAAGAAAAAUAAAAUUUUUCUCUCAAAUUAGUCACAUGCGGAUCACAUUAUUGAAUUACAGAUUUAAACAUAAAUUUAUAAGCAAUAACUCUCUUGACUUUUUAAAAAUAUAUUUAAGUCAUUUUUUUUGUCCAUGUUAGUCUACGAAAAACUACUUAAUAGCUUUAAAAUUAAUAUAAAAAAAAAUUACAAUUAACUCCUACUUCUAUACCACGAAGACAAAGGCAACCAAGUGGAAUAGGCGGGUAAUUUAAUUAACCUAAUUGGCUUUAUAUGUUAAAGCUAAUUAGGUUCCACAAAAACAAUAUUGGAGUAGCAGCUAAUAGUGUGACAGGUGACCAUACAAUGGAUAUUUUUCAAUACGUUUCACUUUCAUGACAGAAAACUUUACGGAUUAAUUAACACACAAAAUAUAAAUAAAAAUAUUUUAUCAGUUUUUUCUUAUUAUAAUUAAAAAAGAACUGGAGACUAUAAAAGGGUAUGCAUGGAAGUCUAGAGAUCACAGAAAACACACACUUCAUUUCUUAAGAAAAAAGUUGUUGAAGUUUGAAGAGAUCAUGAGGGCAAUAUAUAUUAUCAGCAUCAUUAUAGUGAGCUUGAGCAUUUUCUCUUGUGGUGGGAAUGCUCGACUUCUUCCUGCUAAUAGAGAUUAUCCAUGGGCAAUGUUUGCCCUAAGGCUUCAAUGGCCAGCUGGAUUUUACGAGGUCAACAAUGACUGUGAUACAAAGUCUCUCCUCAACACAUUUACCAUUCACGGCCUUUAUCCCUAUAACGCGAAGGGGAUCCCAGUGUUAUAUUGUGACGGAACUGCCUUUGAUGUUAACUCUGUGAGUUCUCUCAGUCUGCAUUUAAUUUACUUCUUAAAAUCCUUGCUCUAUUGUCUAUUAAAUAUGUUUUUUUGUGGUAACAUUUAUAUAUAUCUUGAAGAGUUGGAUAUGUUUGUUUGAUAAAAAAAAUGAAAUUGUACAUGCAAUAUAUAUCCAUACAUACUCACAUAUGUUAAACUAAUUUCUCUCCUCCUUUAUUUUGAAAAUUAACAGGUAUCGGACUUUCAAGCAGAAAUGCAUCUUGCAUGGCCGAGUCAUGAAACUAAUACUGAGGACAAACAAUUCUGGGAACACGAGUGGAAUAAACAUGGAAGGUGCUCAGAAGCUUUGUUGAAGCAGACUGAUUAUUUUAGAACGGCGCUUGCUUUUAGAAAAGCAUUUGAUAUAAUUGGGCUACUAAACCAGGAAGGUAAACAUACCCAUUGAUAUAUAAUUAAAUAGUCUUUAAUUUGGUUCAUUAAUUGCUUCCUAAGGGAACUACGUACUUAAUUUAGAUUUUGUGGAUGAUUAAUUGAUAAUGUGAGUUUGAUGAGAUUACUAUUCAAAAAUGUGUAGGGAUUUACCCGAAUAACGACCUUUAUCGUCCUAAAAUGAUAAAAGAAGCAAUCAAAAAGCACUUGAAUGCUGUGCCAGAAAUCGAUUUCACCAAAAACGAAAACUCAGAAUAUGUGCUUACGGAUAUUAAUCUAUGUGUGAACCAACAAGCAACAAGGUUCGUAGAUUGCCCUACCGAUGACGCUACUGAUGACUACCGCCUCAAAUUCGUAAGACUACCUUCUAAAAUGAAAAUUGCGGAUCCGAGGACCAAUUCUAUAAUAUAGCACAAAUGGUACGGCUACAAAAUGGACUACUAUCUUGUUUAAUUAAUGCUUUUGGGAGUAUAUAUUAUCUAUGUAAAAUAGUUAUGAGUGCUAGGGUUGGCUAAUUAGUACUAUGAGGCCAACCUUUAGUAUCUCUUGAAUAAUGUCCAUGUAGCAAAAGUUUAUAGCACUCUGGCCUUGGUGUGUAUGGAUAAUUAUAAUAAAUGACUACUUUUAUCUGCAAAAAAAAAUAAAAUCCAAGUAUUUUCUUUUGUUUUUAUUUUUGAUAAGAAUUUAAUUUUAUGUAGUUUGAUGGCAUAGUUUAUCUAGGAAGCUGAUAUUUUCACAUGUUAAAAUGAUAUUUUCAAACGAGUCUCUCACAAUAUGGAUGUGGGACUUGCUCACUAUUCAUGUGAGAGGGAUUAUGUGAAAAUA
rnacentral:lncRNA from 1 species